rnacentral:lncRNA from 1 species
AUUUGCAUUGCCAUUCUUGGGGUUGGCCCUUACUGCGAUGUCCUUAGGCUUCAUGGCAGGUGUUUACCUGGUGGUCAGUAAUCUUCAUUGGCUUGCAAUUGUUGUCGUCAUUAUUGGAAUCAUCUUCCUUGUCGGUCUCCUAGUACCCUUUUUUUUACUUUUCCUCCCAAGUAAGUCUACUAAUCGUAUCCUUAGGCACAUCUCCUAUUAUCCGUUUCUUAUAUUGGUAUGGGCAUCUAAAAGCCCCGAAAUGAAACGGGAAGAUUAGCUCGCCCUGUUGAUGAUGUCUGCUAGCUCCAUCUUCCCCUAUGUUUGUUGCUUCUUUCAGCAUUAUCUUAAUGAGAAAGUAUGUUAUGUAUAAAUGCUUAGUGUGAUCAGAACUUCAAUAUAUUGACGGUGUUGUACAUGACCAUUUCUUAUAUAAAUCUAUGGUUUUUGGAUCUAUAAUUAGGUAGUUCUAUAUAUAUUUCAAUAAAUACUCCAUUCAUACAUAAAUAACGUGAAUUCGUUAUUAAUAGGUUCAGUUUAAUUUAUUGAUUGAAAUUUGAAUUUGCAAUUGCAAUUUUUACACUUUUUUAAUUAUUAUUAUGAGAAUUUUGAUUUUCAAAUCCAGGUUACAUCUUCUACAUUACAAUUCAUUGGGAAGGGGAAUAGGUUUUAAUUUUGGAAAAAAAAAAUUUAUUGCCUUUUGAGUUCCAAAGAAUUUUUCAAAAUUAAGGAGUUUAAUCAUUUUUAAAAAAUAAUUUGAAAAUAAAAUAUUGAGGGAGUUAACACUAGAACCAAGAAUUGGUUGAAAAGGACUAUAUUAAUCUCUAGUUUAUGCACAAUUAUAUUUUUCAUUAUAUUUUAUUAUAUUAUUAAUAUUCAUAUUUUAUUAAAAUUUAUUUAUUUUGAAUUUAUUUAUAAUUAAAAAAUUAUUUUUAUUUUUAAUAAGACACAAAUUAAAUUUAACUUAUAUUAUAUAAAUUAAAUUUAUAAUUUUGUGAUUUUUACAAAAUAAAAAUAAAAUUUAUUUUUAGAAACAACUAAUUUAAUUCUUAUAAUCAUUUAAGUUAUCUAAAUAUAAAAAUAAAUGAGAAAAUAAUGGAGAUCUUCAUUUCCAUUCCUGUUUUACCGCGUGGCAAACAGCCCCUCAUCUUAAUUAAUAACAUAACAUGAUUUAUAUAUUUGAUGGACGGUAAAAUCAACCCUUUGUUUGGUAACUCAUAUUGUAGUAAACCCUAAGUUGAGUUUGAUGAUAGUCGGACGUAUUGACGACGGAUUUGACGGACAUAACGUUCAAACCCGCUCAAAGACUCAAUCAAACCCACAGAACUUCACAACUGAUUAAAAUAAUUUUAUAAACCAAAAUGAUCAAACUUUGUAGUUUCUGGGAUUCGUGUUGAUGCUUCCAAAUAGGUUCCAAGAUGUUCCCAGUGAGUUUGGAAAAGAGAGAAGUGGAUUCCUUGAGCUUCUCAAACAUUUUCUUAGAAAAUGUCAAACGCUUGGUCUCAAAAUCUAACCUGUAUGAUUCAAACACACCCAUGAGUUUGAGUUGCCGUGCUUCAUAUCCAUUCCGUGUCUGCUGGAAGUCCUAUGUGAUGUAAGUUGGACUAUCAAAUGAAUUGCUUUUGAGUAUCAAAUUUUUUAUUCAACUUAUCAUAUGUAUGUAAUGCAUAGGUUCUUCUCUCACAUAUUGACUUGGCCCUUACUUCCAUCCCAAGCAAGAGAGUGCAGGUAUCUCAUGGCCGGCAGUGGACUAAUGAUAUAUGAACUCAUUUUAAAUUGGGUCUGACUAACUUGGCCACUGGGGUUGUUACCUUGAAAGGACUUGAGUGGGGUUCAUGUUUAAGUCUUUCCUUUUUAAUCUAGGUAUGUACUGUGUGUGCUCUCUUCUUGUUUUAGUUGAAUUCAAAGAAUAGUUGUUUCUUCCUAGUCUGGGUAAGUGGUUGCUUAAGGGUAUCAUAUUAAGAUUUUUAUUAUUUUUAUUUUCUGUUUUUGACUUGGUGCCUUUUCAAGAUUUUGAAUUGUCAAAAAAGCUAGUUAUAUUGUAUAAACAAUCAUCAUAGGAUUAGAAUUAGUAUAUAUAAUUUGGUAUUGAUGUGCAUGUUCUCUUCCUCUGUAUGACCUAUCCUUUGCGAUGAAGUAUUGGACUGGUUUCUUUGUUGCCAUUAUUUCUUUUUUCUUUUAAACUUCUUAAACCAACAUAAAUACAAGCACAGCUAACGGAUUUGAUUAGGCAAGUCAACUACAAUAGGAGAUAUUAUGAGACAAAACGAUUUAAUGAUGAAUUUUGAGAGGCUAAGAAAGCAGGGGAGGGGAGAAAGAUGGAAGACAGGGAAACAAAGGCAAAAACAACCCAAGAAGCAAGCCAUCUUGGCAAUCUCUGAGCAUAAGGAUGCCAAAUUGUUGGAGGACUAUGUGACAGCUAGUUCCAUGGAUCCUGAUUUGUACAGAGCUACGAUACAAGGAGACAUUCUUGAAUUCAUAAAAGCCGUGGAACAAGGACCAGACAAUAGACACGCUGGUGUACCUGCUGCAUCUUGUAUCCAAGUGACCCCUCAGAAGAACACAGUUCUUCACCUAGCAACGAUCUUUGGACAUGACGAGAUUGUAAAACUCAUUUGUAAGGACUUGCCCUUUCUUGUCAUGGAAAGAAAUUGCAGAGGUGACACUGCACUUCACAUUGCAGCCAGAGCUGGCAAUUCACUGCUAGUGAAUUUGUUGAUUAAUUCAACAGAGGGGGUUUUGGGUGUGAAGAAUGAGACGGGUAAUACCGCAUUGCAUGAGGCAUUGCAACAUCGUCAUGAAGAGGUGGCCUGGAAUAUAAUUAACAAAGACAGAAAUAUGUCUUGUUCUGUCAAUAAGGAAGGAAAAUCUUUGUUGUAUUUGGCCGCAGAAGCAGGAUAUGCAAAUCUUGUUAGGUUUAUAAUGGAAAAUCCUGCAGGAAACUACAGCAUUGAAGGAAAGCUCGAGAACAAACCAUCUGUGAAAGCUGCCAUUCUUGGGAAGAACAUAGGUAAAUGAAAUUCUCUUCUCUAAUCUCCCUUUUUUUUUCCCUUUAUUGGUAUGCUUGUCUUCCAAUUUCAGACUUCCAAGAGCCUGCACUUGGAUUGGAAAUUUUUAAGUGACUGCACUUUCACACCUCUUAGUUUUUUCCUACAAAAAGCCCUGCAACUACUACAAACCACCCAAUUCUCUGCACCAGUGAAUCAGAAAACUUUACCCAAACUAUAUUGCAUCCAAUUGUCACCAUUAAAAGGUAAUGAUAUCAUGGCACAUAAGAGCAUUCUCAUUUUUCUGGAAGUUGGAAGACCUCAAUUAUUUCUUGCUUAAUUAAAUCAUUUUAUGCUGAUGGUAGUAUGGUACUUGACUUUCAAUGAACAAUGGUUAACUUUUGGUGAGAUGUAUUUUCUGGUGUAUAACCUGAUAUUUUUAGUUUGAAUAUUCUGAGGGAUAAAAAAGAAAUAAUGAUAUUUAAAUAAGUAUUUUUUAUUUAACAAUAUUAAUAAUUUUAUUUAUGAAUUUAUAUUUAUCUUUUAUUUAAUUAGUAAAUAAAAUAUAUAAUAAGAUAAUUAAGAUUAACUUAUUUAUAGUAAUUCUAUUUUAAUUCAUUUAUAAUAUAAUAUAUAUUUAUAAUUUAUCAAUUAUGUCUUCCCUAAACAAAAACUUUGUCCAUUGAUAUAGGUCAGUUCUUAAUUUGUUCGAGAAUCAAGGUUUAUUUUCUAUUCUUGUGGGCUAGUGAAUUGUUUUUUUAAAGUGUUAAGUGUUACAAUAAUCCCACAUCAGAAGUUGGAGAGAAAAAACACCCCCUUACGCAGCGUGCAAAUCGAUCAAGAUCAAGGCAAAAAGAGUAUAGAUGGAAAUGGUGAUCUUAAUCGGUUUUUAAAAAUAAAUAAUUGUUUUUAUAUAAUUAAAAAUUAAUUAGAAUUAAAGAUUAAAAAAUAAGACUAAAGUUUAAAUUUUGUUUGAAUUUUAAAAUUUUGAAAUAUUAAAAAUUUAGAAAUUUAAAAAUAAAAAAAAUGUAAAAUCAGAAAGGAUUGAAAUUAGGAUCUGUAUAUGAUAUAUUUGUGCGUCGGUAUAGAAGAUUGGGAUUUUGGGAUUGGAUUGAAGUAGAAAAUUCAAAAUGAAAUUACAAUAAGAAUACGGUAAAGGGAUAACGUUGGGACACCACUACUGGUGUACACUUCCAAGGCUGGAGGUAAAAGAAGGCCAUGCCAUGUCAUGCCACCUGGAACAAAAUAAGAGGUUCUACAGAUUCUCUUAUCGGAAUCAUUUGAAAUAUAGGAUGGAUGCAUGGAAGAAAAGGAGACUCCUCUAAAACUUGUGUAAACUUGUGUUUGUGUGUAGGUGAGAGGUUGGGACUCUCCGAUCAAUAAGGAACUCGGAGCAGAUUCGAACAAGGAAGAAGGCGGGGAAGGGCAGAUGGCACCACGCAUGACAUUCUCCGCAGAUGUGGACAUGGAUAGAGAUAGAAGUGCUCCUUACAGCUAUAAACACAUUGUCCCUGCAAUCUCCGCAGAUAGAAGUGCUCCUUCCACACGUGGGCAUGGCUAGAGAUAGAAGUGCUCCUUCCACACAUGUGGGCAUGGCUAGAGAUAGAAGUGCUCCUUCCACACAUGUGGGCAUGGCUAGAGAUAGAAGUGCUCCUUCCACACAUGAACUCUACGCCCCUGCUCCGGAGGAGAGGCUAGCAUCCUUUAUACGCUUCGCAUUCUUAGUAUAUAGGGAAAUUGAAGAAAAUGAGAAGAUGCUUCAUCAAGGAAGUGGAAGUGCUCCUCCCACACAAGGAGUCGUCGCUCCCGCCGAUGAAGAUGAAGAUGUGGAGCAGGAUAGAUUAAUGGACAGCCGCACGUACAUGCAGGCGACCCGAGGACGUGUUGAUGAAUUUAUUCAAAUUUUAGAAUCGAUAUCCUCUGAACAGGACCUUCAACACUCAGAAAUUCUCUGCCAAGUUAGGCCCCGGAAAAACACAUGCCUCCACAUAGCAGCAAGCUUUGGACACCAUGAUCUUGCCAAGUACAUCGUGAGAGAGUGUCCAGAUCUUAUCAAAAAUAAAAACUCCAAAGGCGACACGGCACUUCAUAUUGCUGCUAGAAAAAGGAAUUUAUCUUUCGUUAAGAUUGUCAUGGAUUCAUGCCCUUCUGGAAGUGGCGCAUCCCAAGAUGUAGAGAAGGCUGAGCCUUUAUUGUUGGGAAUUGUUAACAAAGAAGGAAAUACAGUGUUGCAUGAGGCACUGAUAAACCGUUGCAAACAAGAAGAGGUGGUGGAGAUCCUUAUUAAGGCAGAUCCCCAAGUGGCUCAUUAUCCGAAUAAGGAGGGAAAGUCGCCAUUGUUUCUAGCUGCAGAAGCACACUACUUCCAUGUCGUCGAGGCUAUAGGAAAACCUAAAGUUGAGAAGCACAUGAGCAUUAACAGAGACCGCGAAGCCAAGUCGGCAGUCCAUGGUGCCAUUCUGGGAAAGAAUAAAGGUAUGACCCGCCCCAUUCUCAAUCUCCAUUUAAUUCUCCUGCUCUUCUUCUUCUUCUUCAAACCUAAAAAACACCAUUUCCAAUAAAAUCUUAAACCUGUAUUUGAUUCUCAUAGUUGAAAAAAAAUUAUUAAGGAAAGUGAUUUUCUAAUAUGCUGUUUUACCAUGGAAAACAUGAAAGAAAGUAAUUAAAAUUAAUAAGAAAUUUAUAUCAUUUAAAAUUAUUUAAUUUUUAUAUAGAAUAGUUAAAUAAGUAAAAUAAAUUUAAAGUAAUAUAUAAAAAUAAUUUAUCGACUUAAAUUUUAUUUUAUUUUUUAAUUUUUCUUCUUUAUUUUCUGUGUUCACAUAUUCCCUCAAACUUUCAGACCAAACAUAACCUAAAUGAUCACUUGAAGUCAAUCCCAAACUAUCCAAACAAUUCUUCUUUCUUAUAGCCCUUUUUGCCUCCCCUCUAUUUAAACCAGCCAAUAUGCACGCAACAAAGCCACAACAGCAAAUUUUCUUUAGUUAAUUUUAAAAUUUUGUGAUUUAGAAAGGAAAAUUAAGAAUUAGGAGCUAGUGGGGUUUUGAAGAAGAAUAAGAAGAUGGCAAACUAGGAUUAGGAUUUUGAAAACAAAGAUGAAGAAUAUUAUUUACAAGAACGGGUUUGGGCCGGGAAGAGUAGUUAUAAACAUUAUUGAUCUCCCAUAAAUUAAUAAAAAUUUUAAUCUUUUAGGAACGGGGAAUAUUGAAGCAAAAGCUGAAAAAAAAAAAAAAAAGCCAAUUUACUUUUUCUAUAAUUAGUUCAACAGAAAAACAUAAAUGUGUUCUCAUUUUAAUUUCUUUUAUAUAUGAUGAAAAAAUGCCAGAGAUGUUGGAAAAAAUACUAGCCCUGAAGAUCGUCCACCAAAGAGAUGAACAUGGAAUGACUCCACUUCAUUAUGCGGCAUCGAUUGGAUAUCUUGAAGGAGUUCAAACGCUGUUAGCUAAAGACCAAUCUAACUUCGAUCGAUAUCAUAGGGACGACGAAGGCUUCUUACCCAUCCAUGUUGCAUCAAUGAGAGGCUAUGUAGACAUCGUCAAAGAGUUGCUCCAGGUCUCCUCUGACUCGAUAGAAUUGCUUAGCAAACACGGUGAGAACAUUCUUCAUGUGGCAGCCAAGUAUGGUAAAGAUAAUGUAGUCGAUUUUCUAAUGAAAAAAAAAGGGCUCGAGAACCUUAUAAAUGAGAAGGACAAAGAAGGAAACACGCCACUGCAUUUGGCUACCACGUAUGCACAUCCUAAGGUCGUAAACUAUUUAACAUGGGAUAAAAGAGUUGAUGUGAAUCUUGUGAAUAAUGAAGGCCAGACUGCUUUCGACAUUGCUGUAUCAGUGGAGCAUCCAACGUCAUUGCACCAGGUAUAUAUGACGAUUUGCAUCUUGUUUUCUGAAUGAAGGGUACUACUAUUGGUUUCACCUUGAACUGCAUGCAUUGUUAAUGCUAUGGCAUUUUCCUUCUUAGAUGCAAGCAUGUGAAUUAUUAAAAGGAUCAAUCAGGACAACAUAGUUUGUAUUUCUUUCCUAGAAGGACCGACUGAUAUUAAUAAAACCUAGUUCAACUAAAAGAAGAUCAAUUUGAUCCCAUGAUAUCCUAAAAGUCAAGAAAAUUAUGGAGCCUAACUCAAUCACCAUCACCCUCGCCCAGAUUAGAGCGGCUCAACCAAGGUUAGGCUAGGUUUCUCCAGCAAGUGCAUAUACUCUUGAUGCCGGCAAAGACUUAUUGGAAUAAUUUUUUGCAUCAUACUAAAAGGUUUUCAGUGUAGAGAACUGCUAUAUCAUGUGCGCUUGUGGUUGCUCUCUUGCUGCUUCACGUUGCUUAAUUUCAUACUUCUUGUGGGUGUUCAUUGAAUUUAUAGGGAAAAGAGAAUGGCUUCCCAACAAAAUAUUUCGAAACCCAACUCGUGGAAUUAUAGUCUACUUAUACUUUCUAUAGUUAUUAUUACGACGCAUACAUUUGAUUUUUUUUCUUUCUCACGAUUACAUUAACAGCAACAUUUUUAUCUCUACCACGCAGAGACUAAUUUGGACAGCACUCAAGUCUACUGGUACACGACCAGCCGGAAAUUCAAAGGUCCCACCAAAACUGCCUAAAUCACCUAAUACGGACCAGUACAAGGACAGAGUAAACACUCUCUUGUUGGUUUCGACCCUUGUUGCCACCGUGACAUUUGCUGCUGGUUUUACCAUGCCAGGAGGCUACAACAGCUCUAAUCCAAGUGCCGGCAUUGUAGGGACCCCUCCCCUUGGGAAACACGUGGCACGCAGCUCAUAGUGACGCAUGGCACGUGUUAUCAGCCGGACCUUCAUCAUCCGGAUUCCCCUGAGGAUAUGCAUGGUGCAGUUAUCCUAUCCGGACCGCCUCAAGGAAAGGCAAACGACGUUUCAGCUUCUCCUAUCCAAGGAAGAGCAAACGACGCUGGCAGAGCGUAGACAUCCGGAUAGUCUCCACAACACAUCCGGAUAAUCAGCAUGAGCCAUCCGGAUAUAAAUCGUCUGGAUGGUCAAUUAAAGUAAAGCGAGUCUUACACGCAAUCACAACAAGCAGCCAUGGCCCACAUCUUGUCACCUGCAGAGUGAGAAGACAAGAGGAAGUGACAGCAAGUCACUUCCCACGAUCAUUCUACAUAACCACUUCCCACGAUCUCUGACAACCGCAUCACCUACCAUGGUCUCUGACAGCCAUUCGUAGGAUGAUAAUGCUCCUACUGGCACCUAUUAUCAUCAUUACAACAUAAAAUAUCUCCUCACCAUUAAUGAAAGGAGCAGUACCCCUGAAGUUGUAUAUAUAUGCCUUCACACGCAGAAGAAGGGGAUCCCCUGGUAACCUUUUGAUACCUAGUGAAAGGCCAACUGAUUUAUAUAUCUCUCUCUCUUAUCAUGGCUAACAAAACCAUCGGAGGGUGUGUCCGGACACCCUGUCCGGAUGCCUUUUGCAGGUACAAACCGCUGAAUCAAGAACCCCUUGUGUGUUGAGAAUCGCGUGUCCAUCCAUCUAGCAGCAACGUGGACCACUGGAUACGCGAGGCGACAACAUUGGCGCCGUCUGUGGGAAGCUUUACUUUUUAUUUUGAUUCAGUCACUAGCAAAGAUGGCCACACCUUCCCAAAGUCGAUCAUCUGGUAGAGGGGAGGAAGAUAAUCUCGAAUGGCGUCAGGCCAUCGAAAAAAGACAGUUGGCGAGCGAAAAACAGCUAAGAGCUCUCCUCCAGGAGACGGAGAGGUUAAGGGAAGAAAACGCUGUGUUACGCGUUCAAGCCUCAACGUCAGGUCCUCCUCGUCGUCAGCAUUCAAGAGGCCAGGUGGCAAACUCAAGGCCAGAGCCAGAAUCAAUAUAUCCUGGGUCAACAGGAGCUGUCCCAGGAGCAUACAACGCAAGGCCCCAUGAGCCACGUACACCUAUGCCUUGAGCUCCCCGUGAGGAAAGCUCAGAUUCCACUCAUUUUUCAGCAAAAAGACAACAUGAUAGAAAAUCACAGUUGUCAAGUUCUAUGCGCGCAAGACUAGGCCCACAAGAGCCUGGGAGAUCAAGGCCACCAGUAGCCACAACCCAGGCGCCACGCCCCGAUCCUAUGAUCGCUCCCAUGGUGCAGAACGUACCUCCGCAUCGUGACCCCAUGGUCACCCCAGCGAUGCGGAACGUUCACUCACACCUAGCGGAACGACCAGCUGGGAGAAACCUCCCAAACGAGCCACCCAUUGGCUCCAUCAGCAAAAGGCUGGAUGACAUGCUCUCCAUGCCCUUUUGCUCUCAUAUCACCCAUUACGAGCCCCCAAGGGGAUUCCUCGUACCAAAGUUUUCCACAUACGAUGGGACCAACGAUCCCUUCGAUCACAUCAUGCACUAUCGACAACUUAUGACGCUCGAUAUUGGCAACGAUGCAUUGCUAUGCAAAGUAUUCCCCGCCAGCCUUCAAGGGCAGGCCCUCUCAUGGUUUCAUCGCCUACCUCCUAACUCUGUUAACAAUUUCACGGACCUCUCUGAAGCUUUCGUGGGACAGUACUUGUGCUCUGCUCGACACAAGCAGAAUAUCAGCACCCUCCAGAACAUAAAAAUGAGAGACAACGAAUCCUUGAGGGAAUUUGUGAAACGAUUUGGCCAAGCCGUACUUCAAAUAGAGGCUUGCAGCAUGGAUGUUGUCCUACAGAUCUUCAAGAGAAGCAUCUGUCCAGGCACUCCAUUUUUCGAAUCACUGGCCAAAAAGCCUCCUACAACGAUGGACGAUUUGUUCAGACGUGCUAACAAAUAUUCAAUGCUCAAAGAUGACGUACGUGCAGCCACUCAGCAAGUUUUGGUUGCCGGACGGGCUUCUAGAAAUGACGCGGACAGAUAUGCCAAACCUCCGGACCGGCCAAAACCAGUUGACCGGAGGCAGGACGGGCCGAGUCGUCCGGAUAGGCCACCCAUCACACCCCUAUCCGUGUCAUACGAAAAACUUCUCCCAAUGAUCCAAGGGUUGUCCGACUUCAGGUGGCCUAGACCCCUCGAAACGGACCCAUCCAUGAGAGACCGCAGCAAGAAAUGCGCCUUCCACAAAGACCAUGGUCAUACAACAGAGACAUGUCGGUCCCUCCAGUACCUAGUUGAAAGGCUCAUCAAAGCAGGACAUUUAAAACAGUACCUCCGCUCAGAAGCUGGAGGAAGGGACGCAUCUCAACAUCAUAACUCUGGGGCCCCGAGGGCCCCAAUCGCCCCCAAGGCUGUCAUAAACUAUAUCAACGGGGGCCCAUCUGACGAGGAAUACGAUUCCAGGAGGAAAAGGCAGAAAUUGCUGCGAGCCGCGUCAGUACGCGAACGCAUUAAUUCCAUCCGACCGGGUCUCACUGGAGAGGGCCCUCGCCCCAUAGAUGGAACAAUCAUUUUCCCACCAGUAGAUCCCACCCGGACGCUACAGCCACAUCGCGAUGCCCUCAUCCUCUCCCUAGAAAUAGGAGAUUUCGAUGUAAGACGUAUCUUGGUCGACCCAGGCAGUUCAGCCGAUCUGGUGCAAGCAUCAGUCGUUGGCCAUAUGGGACAUAGUCUCGCGGGUCUCGAAAACCCCGGACGAAUCUUAUUCGGAUUCAACGGGUCAUCAACCACAUCCUUAGGAGACAUCAUACUGCCGGUCCAAGCUGGCCCAGUCACUCUGACGGAGCCUCACGCUCAUCAGGCUCUGGAGUUGGGCUCAUACUACAGUCCCCAACUGGGGAACAUCUGGAGCAAGCCAUCCGGCUGGGAUUCUCCGCGUCUAACAAUGAAGCAGAAUACGAGGCCAUCCUGUUCGGGUUGGACCUCGCCCUUGCUCUAUCCGUCUCCAAACUCCGAAUCUACAGCGACUCGCAACUAGUGGUAAGGCAUGUCCAGAAAGAAUAUGAGGCUAAGGACGCACGCAUGGCGCGAUACUUGGCCAAAGUAAGAAGCACCUUACAGCAAUUCACCGAGUGGACAAUCGAAAAAAUUAAGCGAGCUGACAACGGGCGCACUGACGCCUUGGCCGGUAUAGCUGCUUCCCUCCCCAUCAGAGAAGCCAUUCUAUUGCCUAUCCAUGUACAAGCCAAUCCCUCUGUCGCAGAAAAUUCCACUUGCAACACCGUUGAGGCAAACCAAGCGAAUGAUCAAGAAUGGACGCAUGAUAUUGCAGAAUAUCUCCGGACAGGCACUUUACCCGAAGAUCCUAAACAAGCGCACAAAAUCCCGGUGCAAGCUGCCCGUUUCACCCUGAUUGGGGGGCACCUGUACAAGCGAUCCUUCACAGGGCCUUAUCUUCGCUGUCUUGGGCAUUCAGAGGCCCAGUAUGUGCUAGCUGAAUUACAUGAGGGAAUAUGCGGAAAUCAUAUGGGAGGACGAUCCCUGGCACAUAGAGCUCAUUCACAAGGAUACUAUUGGCCAACAAUGAAGAAAGACGCGGCAGCAUAUGUCCAAAAAUGUGAUAAAUGUCAAAAAUACGCUCCCAUUCCACAUAUGCCAUCGGCAGUAUUGAAAUCAGUCUCAGGCCCAUGGCCUUUCGCGCAGUGGGGCAUGGACAUAGUGGGACCCCUCCCAGCAGCACCUGCCCAGAAGAAAUUCCUCCUUGUCGCCACUGAUUACUUCAGUAAAUGGGUAGAAGCUGAAGCAUAUGCAAGCAUCAAAGAUAAAGAUGUCACCAAAUUCGUAUGGAAGAACAUUGUUUGCCGCUUUGGAAUUCCCCAAACCAUCAUAGCUGACAAUGGUCCACAAUUUGACAGCAUUGCAUUCAGGAAUUUCUGUUCGGAACUGAAUAUUCGGAAUUCAUACUCCACGCCGCGUUAUCCUCAAAGCAAUGGGCAGGCGGAAGCCACAAACAAAACUCUAAUCAAUGCCUUAAAGAAAAGGCUUGAGCAAGCCAAAGGGAAGUGGGUGGAGGAGCUACCCGGCGUCCUGUGGGCCUAUCGAACCACACCCGGACGACCGACAGGAAACACUCCUUUCGCCCUCACAUAUGGAAUGGAUGCAGUCAUUCCCAUUGAAAUAGGUCUUCCUACUAUCCGGACCGAUGCAGCAAAACAAGAAGAUGCCAACACGGAACUAGGAAGAAAUUUGGACUGGGCAAACGAAGUCAAAGAAAGCGCGGCCAUCCGGAUGGCAGAUUAUCAACAAAGGGCAUCAGCGCAUUACAAUCGAAAAGUCAGGCCCAGAAACUUCAAAAAUGGUACGCUAGUACUUAGAAAAGUUUUUGAAAAUACUGCUGAAAUAGGCGCAGGAAAGUUCCAAGCCAAUUGGGAAGGACCCUACAUAGUGUCUAAGGCAAACGAAAAUGGAGCCUAUCAUUUACAAAAGCUAGAUGGCACUCCGUUACUCAGACCAUGGAAUGUGUCCAAUUUAAAGCAGUACUAUCAAUAAAAAGUAUACACAAGUGCAAAUGAGAAAGAAGUAUGUUUUUAUUGAUAUGAAUAAAUGUAAUUACAAAGAGACCUCCGGACCACAAAAAUACAGAAAGAAAAAUUACAGCAGAAAAAUUGCAAAAAGAGAUAAACUAUCAGGGAGCGGGCUUCUCAUGGAGCUUUUUUUCUUCACCUGGAGGAAUUGAAGGGGUAUCUCGCUUGAUGCCGUUCUUCUUCAUGCAGCAGCGAUACCCAAAGAUAAACGUAUCAUCCACUUGUUGCUGGUAAUCCGCUGCAAGUUCCUCCCUUUCCACAGCAAACUCCCGUUCGAGUUCUUCUUUUUGCACAUCCAGGCGCAGCUGCAAGUCUUCCUUCUGUUUCUUUUCAUUCGAAACUUCUGUCCGGAGUUGAUUCACUUCAUCCCUCAGCCGGGCUGCCUCACCUUCCGCCUCAUGUAGGCGGCCCAUAGUCGAUUCUUCUCGACUCUUCGCCUCAGCCAACUCCACUCGGAGGGCUUCAUUUUCCUCUCGCAUGGUGGAUAGACUGGCCUCAGCCUCCUCCAUUCUCAGACGCAGCUGAUUUUCAAUCUCUCGGCGUCGAGAGGAGAAGGUCUUCAUAUAGUCUGCAGUCUGCAGCAGCUGAGUAAAAAGAUCGUGUUGUUGAGCCAUGCCGCGGAGGCCCCUCACCAGCUGACACACAAACAAGAAAAGCAAAGACAUAAAUCGUACUACAACAAACACAUCAGUGCAACAAAGAGUCAAAAAGCAAAAGCACAAGACAACGGUAUACCGUUUCUAUCAUAUCAAACAUCUUAGCAGAGGGCUUGAUGGCUUUCCAGUCGGGUGUAAUCUGUUUUAGCUUAACUUCCAACUCCGCGUAGCUGAAAGGGCUAGCAGGAGCUGCAUCGUCAGCAGGUUCCUCCUCAGAUGAGGAAACAGAAGGUGACUCUUGUCCCGGAUUCGGGACCUCCACAUCUUCGUCCGGACGCAUCUGUCCGGAUACAUCUUCAGCCGGAAUUAUUACCGGGGCGGCCGAAGUCUCAGUUGCCAUCUCCACCUCGCCUCCAUCCGGAUGAGCGUCAUGGGCAGAAGCGCAGCUAACUUCAAUCUCUUGCUGCCGCUCUUGAAGCCGCCAAGGAGUCCGGACCGUAGAUCGCGCGUCGAACGCGGCUUCUUUGAAGGAGGCCCUUUCACCGGGAUUAUGGCUAAGCGAUCCGGGUCGUCGGAAGGCUGACUUUGGCUUUCUGCCCCCGCUUCCUCCAACGGGGUCGUUUCAGCUGCAUCAGCAUCCGGAUUAAGGUUGCCCGGACGGUUGAUAGACGCAGCUUCCUCAGCCACGUUAGCCAGACGCGCAACCGCGGCCAAGGAAGUGCCCGAAUGGUUCAACCCCGAGAUGCGUCCGGGGCCGCUUGAGAUAGAGUGCGGAGCAGCGUUUACUGGCUCCUCUAUCAUUACUUCCCCCUCAUAGGUAAUUUGCGGAGGAGGAAACUCCCUGGGAGGAGUGGGUUCCUUCACAUCCUUCCCAUUCUUCUUCACCAGCUUCCUCCUUUUUGCUGGAGUUUUCUUUGGAGGAGAGUCCGAACCCCGCUUCUGUCCGGGAGCCUUCCGGAUAGUGCCUUCAUUUUUUUUCUGAUCUCGAUCCUCCAGGAGCUUUCGCCGUCUUUCACCAUCAGCCUCUUUAGCUUCCUGAUACAGGGGGAGCUCCUUCAGAGUAUAAUGCUCCCCAGGUACUAUCUCAUCCUUUGCUAGUUUCCUGGGGAGAAUAUUGAUAACAUAUUCCUGGGACUCCCGGACGACCGCCAUCAAAUUCCACGCGGAAAGCAAUGUCUUGUAGGCCCUCUCCUUGGGAUUUAUCUCGAAUAAUUUGCAGACACAGGCGAAGGACGCAUUUUCCACCCAAUCCACAAGGUGGCCCCUCAAUUCCAGACCUGCAUUGACAGCAACAAAAUGUGAGAAUUCCGUCCAAAAAAAAAAAAAAAAAAAAUCAGCAAAGUAAAAUCCGGACAAAGAAUCGCAAAACAAGAAUACCCGGAAUUUUUAAGGUAUAAUUUGGAGAAAAGGGCCUCGACGCACGCUCCAAUAGCCCCGCCCAUCCACCCCGGACCGCCACCAGCCCCUUCGCCCCUCCAUUUGUCGAAUCUGGCAGCUCUGUCACCACUUGAAGGGAGGGCAGGUGCGCGGACACAUUGAAAAUAUCAUUUUUUGCUUUCUUCAGGGAAUAGACAAAGAACACUUCCAGUAGCGUAAGGUCGAGGCUGUACAGCAUGUUGAUGAUGCUGCAUCCCAUCAGCACCCGGACAAGGUUGGGAUGAAUGAAGAUGGGUGGAACCUGAGAGAAGUGGAGGAAUUCCUUGAACAACGCCGGCAGAGGGAACCGGAGCCCCGCGUUGAAUUGUUCAUUUGUGAAGAGGAUAACGUUUUCUUCACCUUUCUCAGUAGGCAUAGCCGCCUCCUCGUUCACCAAGUCUAUAGAUACGUCAUUUGGAAUGCAGAACCGCUCCCGGAACUCCUUCACAUUUAAUUUGUCUAUCGCCUUUUCGCCAGCCUCGCUAACCCGGGCAGAUGAAACAGUCUUUUUUGGAGCCAUUUCUUACCACAAAGCCAAACCAAAAUCUACAUACAAAAGCAAUGCAACUGUUCAAACCAAGCAGUCAGAAAAUACACAAACCCUAACCCAAAGCAGUCAGAAAAACCCCUCAAAAACCCCCCCCCGAACACCAACAAAGUACCAACAUUCAACAACAAUUGCAAGCGACUUGCCCAAAACAAUGCCCAAGCAAGCCAGAAACCAAGUUUAAAGAACCAGCAAACGCAACCAAAGGAAUGACAGUAGCAAAGAGGUACGUACCAAAUAAAGCUCUGAAGAAGAAGAACGGUUACUGUCUCGGUACAAAAUCACCAGCAGCAAACAAACGAAGUCGCGAUACAAAAACACCGGUACAAAAGAGCUUUCGAAGUUUUUUCUCAGAGAAGCAAAGGGCGCAGGAAAAAGCAAGAAGAAGAAAGGCUCUCAAGAGAAUGCAGUAGAAAAAAAUGCAAAAAGAGGUACAGUGCCCUAUUUAUAGCAGGACAGCCAUGUUAUCAUUGAAACGACAUAUUGCCUGGGGAUACACAGGGUCGGCGGCUUGUCAUAAAUGCCUUUUUGGCUUCCGCACCCCCACUCGCCACGUGGCCCAGUCAGACGAAGGGACCUCUUCAAUUUUCAAAAGCCAGUUAUUUUUAACCCGCCCAUUUUUUCGGGCAAAAUAGGAAGUUAAAAAGGGGGGCAAUGUAGGGACCCCUCCCCUUGGGAAACACGUGGCACGCAGCUCAUAGUGACGCAUGGCAUGUGUUAUCAGCCGGACCUUCAUCAUCCGGAUUCCCCUGAGGAUAUGCAUGGUGCAGUUAUCCUAUCCGGACCGCCUCAAGGAAAGGCAAACGACAUUUCAGCUUCUCCUAUCCAAGGAAGAGCAAACGACGCUGGCAGAGCGUAGACAUCCGGAUAGUCUCCACAACACAUCCGGAUAAUCAGCAUGAGCCAUCCGGAUAUAAAUCGUCUGGAUGGUCAAUUAAAGUAAAGCGAGUCUUACACGCAAUCACAACAAGCAGCCAUGACCCACAUCUUGUCACCUGCAGAGUGAGAAGACAAGAGGAAGUGACAGCAAGUCACUUCCCACGAUCAUUCUACAUAACCAUUUCCCACGAUCUCUGACAGCCGCAUCACCUACCAUGGUCUCUGACAGCCAUUCGUAAGAUGAUAAUGCUCCUACUGGCACCUAUUAUCAUCAUUACAACAUAAAAUAUCUCCUCACCAUUAAUGAAAGGAGCAGUACCCCUGAAGUUGUAUAUAUAUGCCUUCACACGCAGAAGAAGGGGAUCCCCUGGUAACCUUUUGAUACCUAGUGAAAGGCCAACUGAUUUAUAUCUCUCUCUCUCUUAUCAUGGCUAACAAAACCAUCGGAGGGUGUGUCCGGACACCCUGUCCGGAUGCCUUUUGCAGGUACAAACCGCUGAAUCAAGAACCCCUUGUGUGUUGAGAAUCGCGUGUCCAUCCAUCUAGCAGCAACGUGGACCACCGGAUACGCGAGGCGACAACAGGCAUGGCUAUCUUUCUGAUGAGAAAUAUGUUCCAUAUGUUCGUCAUCUGCAAUACCAUUGCUAUGUAUACCUCCAUCCUCGCGGCAAUCAUCUUCAUCUGGGCACAGUUAGGUGAUCUCAAUUUGAUGGAUACUGCCUUCAGAUUUGCAUUGCCAUUAUUGGGGCUGGCCCUUUAUGCAAUGUCCUUCGGCUUCAUGGCAGGUGUUUCCUUGGUGGUCAGUAAUCUUCAUUGGCUUGCAAUUGUUGUCUUCAUUAUUGGAAUCAUCUGCCUUUUCAGUCUCUCAGUACCCUUUCUUUUACUCUUCCUCCCAAGUAAGUCUACUAAUCGUAUCCUUAGGUACAUCUCCUAUUAUCCGUUCCUUAUACUGGUAUGGGCAUCUGAAAGCCCCGAAAUCAAACAGGAAGAUUAGCUUGCCCUGUUGAUGAUGUAUGCUAGCUCCAUCUUCUCCUAUGUUUGUUGCUUCUUUCAGCAUUAUCUCAAUGACUUGGUAGACAAAGCAUGUUAUGAAUAAAUGCUUAGUGUGAUCAGAACUUCAAUAUAUUGGUGGUGUUGUACAUGAUCAUUUGUCAUAUAAAUCUGUAGUUUCUGGAGCUGUAAUAUGUGAAAUACUCUAUAUAUAUUUCAAUAAAUACUCCAUUCAUCCAUACUGAUCAAUGCAUAUUUGUCUUUGCUUUAAAAUUUUUUAGAAAAGAAAAAAAGAAAAAAAAAUCUUGGAAAUCCCAAAAUGAUUAAUUUGAGAAAUAUCAUUAUUUAACAAAUAAAAAAACACAUGAAUAUAUAAACCCCACUAUGUCAUUUUCUUUGAAGUACCCUGUUGCGGAUUUGAUGAGAAAAAGGUAGUAAUCAAAUGGCAUAGCAUAAAAUUUAAAUUAGAGUUUUCUCAUCAAAAUGUGCAGAAUUAAAACCUUUACUAAAACAAUUGAUUUUUAGGAACCAAAUUUUGGUGAAAAAAAAAAAUCAUAAUUCAUCUAUAAAACUAAUUAUUGACAAUAAACUUUUACAUUUCCUACAAACUAUUUAAUGAUGAUACCUUAGUGAUUAACUUCUAAACUCAUUUAUAAAAUGUAACAUUAGACUUUGUUUGAUUUUGAAGAGUUUGAAAGGAAAUGCAAAAGAAAGAAAGAAAAGAGGAGAAAAAUAAAAGGAAAGAAAAAAUAAAUUUAAAGUGAAUAAAUUAUUUUGAUAUAUUAUUUUAAAUUUUUUCAUUUAUUUAACUUUUUAUAUAAAAAUAAAAUAAUUUAAAAUCUCAAGAUUACUAAAAAAUAUCUUGGGAUAGCAAAAAGUUUAUGAUCUUUUUCCUACGUGGAACAAGUGAUAAUUGAGCACCACCUAUUCAAUCCCUCUAAUUAGUUAUGAUUAUCUUAUUUAAUUAAUGAUUUAUGUAUUUCAUAGAUAAGUUGACAAUUUUAUUCUAUACAUUUUAAACUAAACCUCUAUAUACUUUCUUGUAACUAAUUGGAGUCUACGGAUGGUAAUGGGGUGGAUUUUUUUGAGUACUUGCCCGUCCCAUCCUUAAUGGAAUGGAUUUGAAUUUUAACUAAAUGGGUUUAGGAUGGGUUUGGAAAUUUUUUUAAAACUUGGGGUGAAUUUGGGUGUUGUCUUGUCUCAUCCCACCAUAUUAUAUAUAAAAUUAAUUUUUAAAAUUAAAUUAAAUUAAUUUUUAUUUUACUAUUUUUACUAUGUAGAUAAUAAUGAAAUAUUUUUUUUUAAUAAAAUAAGUUAUAAAAAAUAUAAUAAUUUAAUUAUUUAUAAAAUAUAUUUAUUUUAAUAUAAUUAAAAAAAUUUAAAUUAAAAAAAAAAAGUUAAACUGGGUGGGAUGGGGUGGGGCGAGUAUGAAAAUUUCUCAUACCCAUCCCUCCCUGUUUAAUUUUUUAAAUGGGGCAAAGAUGAAAAUUAAUUUUAAUAAAUGGGACGAGGUUGGAAUGGGGGUGACCCGUCCCAUUGCCAUCCUUGCUAGAGUCUAGAAUCGUAAAAACUCAAGAUUACUCACAAUUCGUCUAGGAAUAGCCAAAGUUAAUUAUCUUGUUUCUACGUAGAGCAAGUGAUGAUUGAGGACCAUAUAUCUAGUCUGUCUAAUUAGUUAUGUGAUGCAAGGUUAAAAACCUUAUCUUAUUUCAUAACAUGAUUAUAUUUUAUAGAUCAUAAAAUCAAAUCUUUGUUUGGUAACUCAUAUUUAGUAAACCUUAAGAACCUAAAUUCCCCACGUGUUUGACAUAGAUUCGAAAUUUUGAACCCAAUUUUAAGUUGAGUUUGAUGAUAGUCGGACGUAUUGAUGACAGAUUUGACGGUCAUUACGUUCAAACCCGCUUUAAAAGACUCAAACCCACGUAACUUUGAAUUGGUUAAAAUAAUUUUAUAAAGUGAAACGAUUAAACUUCUUACUUUUUGGGAUUGGUGUUUGUACUUCCAAAUGAUGUUCCUAGUGAGUUUGGGGAAGAGAGUGAUAGGAUUUCAGAAUAAUUAUAAGCCUAAUUCUUGCAAAACAAUCAUCACAUUGGUCUUAAAACUUUGUGAUUUUCACAAAGUAAAUAAAUAAUCAAGAAAACAAUCAUUAAAUUCUAACUUUUAAACCAUGUCUAGAAAAAUAAAGUUUAAACCAAAAAUCCUAAAAAUAUCAAAAUCUCAUCCUAAUUAUCAUUCAUCACCUGAUCAGAUGGUACUUAAAAAAUUGUUAAUGAAGGGAAAUGAACUUAAAACCUAAUAAGAAAUAUUAAUACAAUUUCACAAAUAAAAUAUUUUUAAUAAAGAUUAUAAAAAGAAGAUAUGAUGUAUAAUCAUUUUCAUAAAAACUUUUUAGUUCAAACAUUCUAAUACAUUCAAACUUUUCAACAAAACAUUUUUAUAUUCAUGUCAAACAAUUUUAUAUUAAAUUCAAAUAAAUUGUAUUUAAAAUAUUUUACUCUGAUUAUCAAAUAUCAAAUGGUACUCAAUUAUGUGAGACUUUACAAAUGGGCGGCUACUCUCAAAUUUGUUCCUUUUAAGACAAAACUAAACACUACUAAUACUAGUAAUCUCUAACCAAACCUUUAGAUGUUGGGGUUCAAAUCAAUUGCAUUCUUCAUCAUAAAAUGUAAAUGUUAACUAUUAUAUCGUGUUAAUAUGGACUAAAAAGUCAAUUAUUAUAUCCAAUUGAUAAAGACCAAAAAGUCGAUUAUUAUAUUCCGCUACCUAUGACCAAACAAACCAAAGUCAAACACUUUGUUUUAUUUAUUCAAACUUAUAAAAACAUAAUAUUUUCACAUAUUUAUGUUAUAAACAAAAGAAAAGGUUUUAAUAUAUUUUUCAUGAAAAAUAUAUUUGCUUUAUGCAUAAAAACAAAAAUAACAUUUUACACAUUUAAUUUCAAAAUAACAUGUCAAAAGAAAAUCAUUUUUUUUUAUAAAAUCCUCAUUAAUUUCCCUUACCUCGAAAAACAUUCAUAAUCCUUGAAGAAUUUAAUUCUAUAUAAACAACUUUUCAUCUAAUAACAUAAGAAAAACAAUUAUUACUAUUAAUUAUUUGUCUAAAAUUAUAAGUUUAAUAAUCCUAAAAUUUUAUAUAUUAAUAUUAAUAUUAAUAAGUAUCAAUGAUAAUUUAAUUAAUUUAUUCCUUAUUAAAGUAAAAUUAAUAAAUUGCUAAUUUAUAUAAAACUUUUUUCUUAAAUUUGAUUCUAAAAAACAAAAAUACAUUACUAAUUUAAUUAAACUACAAUUUUUAUUUCAUUAAUUAAAUUUUAUUUAUUUAUUAACUUAACAUCUAUCCUCAUUAGCAUUAUUAUACCAUCAACUAACCCAACUCUCAACACCUACUUAAUAUUAUAUAUAAAGGUAGGACUCGCUUGCUUAUCUUUUUCUUAUUUUAUUUCUUUUCUUUCUUGCACAAACCACACUCAUGGCUACAUUCCAUUUUUUUUUUUUUUUAAUACACGCUUACAAAAAUCACACUGUACACACUCGCCAAGGAACCAACACUAUAAGAAAAAAGGGCAAUAAUGACGCUUUUUAGGCGUCAAUAAAUGUAUAAGAUGACGCUUCUUGAAAGCGUCCUUGUCGCCCCUGUCAAGGAAUGGGUGUAAGCAACCUUGUCGCUUCUAAUUCAAGGAAUGGGUGUAAGUAACAUUUCAAGGUGAAAUCAACCAUUUUGGUUAGAAUAUUUGCUUCUAAUUCAAACCCCAAGCUUUGAUUCCCUUAACAAUAAUAGAUGAGUGAAUACAUAUUUCUUAGAAGCUUUAAUCAUAACAGUCAGUCAGGAUAGAAUAGCAAAGACUAUGUGACCAUAUUUAUUUCUGGUUAUACUUCCACUACCAAAUUGUCGUGUGUUCCCAAUGGUUCAGCAAUCAAAGAAAGCAUCAAAUGCCCGAUAUGGGCAAACAUCAAAAUCUUAGGGACAGUGGGAUUAAGAGUUUAAGGUAGUGAAUGGUUUUUUUUUUUUUUUUUUUUUUAACCACUAUAACUUUAGAUACAGUAUGGCUCUAUACAGGAGCAGGUGGUAGACUGGUGGUGUAAGUAUAUCUAGGUUAAUCUUUGUUAAGUUUGGAUUUCAGAUCAUUUGCAGCUUGUGAUGGUUCUAAUUUUAUCUUUUUCAUUUUGUAUAAGAGAUAAGAAAUCCCAACUACGUGUGUGUACUUAACUCUUAUGCCAUUUAUUUAUCUUCAUGAUGUAUACUUAGUUCUUAUGCCAUUUAUUUAUUUAUAUUUUGAUUGGCAUAUCCCUUUUCCAUUUAUAGGAAUCUUUAAGAUAACCUCUUACUUAGGAGAAACUUUUUGUAUUUGAUUGAUUUAUACAUUGAUUUGUUCUUGCAACUUGUUAAACUGCCUCGAGUUCCAAUUGUUGACAAAAUAUUGAAGAAGUAUCUUGAUUACAGAAUAAAGAGGGAUGGCAUGUAAGUAUAUUUGCCAUGGCUCCUGACAUUUUGAACUCCCUUCCAACUUCUAAAGGUGAUCAAACAAAGUUGCAAUGAUACUGCCUGAGGUUUGAUGGCAGUUAUUUUUAUUGUUUGGUUUGGUGUGUUAUUGAUGUAGUAAUAUCAGGAUAAUUUGUGUCGGAAUGUUUACUAUAGUAAGAGGUAGUUCUUGUAAUUUUCACACUAAUAUGGUUUGAAUAGACAAGCAUGCUUACCUGUUCAGUGAUCAGUCUCAACUAUGUACUUAUUGCAUAAAUGAUUGUUAUGGCAAUACAAGCAGUCUCUCUAUAUAGAUGAGUAGUUCACAUGUGAAAUUUUUGAAAGCCAGUAUCUUAAGAUAUGUAGUUAUCAAAGACAAGUUCAAGAAUAUUGUAACUUCUGAAUCCAAAAAAAAAAAAAAAAAAACCACACACAAUCUUGACAAGAACAAAAAUAGUCAAUGAGAUGGGAAACAAGACAUCUAUUCAAAACCAGUAAUAGACUUACAUUCUCAAGUCCCAAUGAGCCACAUAUAUAAGCAACACCCCAUACAAAUAAAACAAUUGCUUCCUUUUCCACCAAAAGUGCACUGUGUGCCUGACAGAACCAACAACAACAAAGUCAAAUAAGCUGCAAUGUGGAAUACAUAAAAUAAAAUACCACAAUUAAAAUUGCAAAAAAUGAAGUUAACUAAAAUCAACAUAUAAAUAAUAAAAUAAAAAAUAAAUAAAGGAUGUUAAUUUACUUAAUCCUUUAAAACUUUGAUAAUCAGAUGAGUAACAGAGCAGAGGCAGUGUUUGUGACAAAAAAAAAACUGCUAAAUCACAUCCCCUGUAUGCUGUUAUGAUGUGUUUGAAUUUUGGGUUCUCAUCAUCUUGUUCCUUCUCAAUCAUGUACUUUUGUUUCUUCUUUGUAAACUCAGACUGGUUGGAUAUAUACUAGGAUCUCCGCACAUUUUUUACAACAUUCAAGUGAAUUUUGGUUAAUUUUAUGUGAUAAUUAAACUCAUUUAUGUUUUUUUUUAGAUUUAUUUUUUUAUUUUUCUUUUGUUUGUAUGAAACACUUGGAAAUGUUUGAAAAAAAAAUUCUAAAGUUUGUGGGCCUACUUUUCAAGAGUAGUUAAAUAGAUAUGACAUAUCAAAAUAUCUGGAAGAAAUUAAAAAACUCAUCAUUUUAUUUGACAAAAUAUAAGUAAUGAAGAAAAUUAGAAUGAUAAAUGAUUCAAACCAUGAAUGGAUUUUUGAAGGAAAAAGCGUUCAAUAGACACAAUGAUAUAUUUUAGGUAUUUUUAUAUAUCUAUAUAUCUAUAUAUAUAUUAAUCAAAAUUGAUUGAGAAACUUUUGUGGUCUUGAUUAACACUUGUGUAAAACCAAAAAAAAAAAAAAAAAAAUUCAUCUCUGUAAAUAAGGGAUUCACUCACAAAAAGACCACUUUUCCAUGGACCUAAACAAAAUCACAACAAAAUUAGUUUAAUGAUUUGAUGUAUAUAAUAAUAACAACAAGAUCACUUUCAUUUCACACAUGCUAGUAACUUGAAAAUUAAUCAAUUCACUUAAGACCCAUGUGUAGGAAAUCAAAAUAAUAUAAAUUAUACCUAGAUAGAGCACUAAAAAAAUUGAUUUUUUUUAAUAUUUGUAUUUUUUUUUCAUUGGUUUCUCAUUUGUGCUUGCUUUUCUAAUUUUUAUUUUUUACAUUCUGUGGUGGAUGUAAGGAAAUACGCAAAACUGACAAAUUAACCAGAUAAUGAUGGCUGUAUAAAUGUUAUUUAAUUUUCUUGUGUAAGAGGAUUAUUCAGAACAAUAAGAAUAUGGGUGGUGGGUAGUGGGAUGUGGGAGGACAACUAAUCUCUUUGCGUUUAUGUGAAAACAAUAUGUUAAAAGCACAUGCAACCUUAGUUUGUUCUAGUCCAAAACACCCUUGUUCAUUCGUUUUUCCUCUUUUGUUUUUAUUUUUGUUUGCCUCUUCCCCGUGUAGUUGUUUAAUCUACUAAAAACAUUGAGUUUUAACACACAUAGUCAAUAAGAAACACAAUCAUCCCAAAAAUCAUAAGAACACAAAAAAGCCCUAAAAUAAAAUAUGAAAACAGAACACAUUGAGAGAAGAGGACUUACCACUCAUAGAUAUGGGAAUGCAACGGUAUACAUCAAUGACACUGGUUCAUAGUGGAAAUUUUCCAGUGGUGACCACUUGUGAAAUUAUUGAAGUCAGGUAAGGCUACUCCAAAGGGUUAGGGCAUUUCAGUGGUGGGAUUUGUAAAUGAGGAAUGGGUUAUGGCUUCUUAGUGCUGGAUUUCACCCUUGCAAAAAGGGUUUCAUAGUACGGAAAGGGUUUCUCCCAACUUGCGACAUCGACAAUUGACAUGUAGGGACUAGAUUCUCUAGAACGAUAUGCUAUGAGUCUUUGGAAGCUUCUUGUUCAAUCGUCAUUGUUCCUUUAGGUAUGAGAUUCAAGCUUCAUUUUUCGGGUUUUUCGAGAUAUGAAAUAGAGGGAAUGUUUGGCGGUAACAUAUUGCAGAGAGAAAAAAUUCCAAAGAUAGCCAUAUAUUUAUAGGUAAAAUUCAAUGGCACUUAUAAAAGUGCCGAGGAAAAAUAAUACUAGUUAACAAAACGAUGAUACUUCCAAUAAGCGUCAUUGCAUACAAAGUAAAAGAGAAAAUAGUAUAUCAAACAAUGAUGCUUCCAAUAAGUGUCAUUGUGUACCAUGCUACAGGGAUAAUAGUAUGUCAAACAAUGACACUUUUAAUAAGUGCCAUAAAAUAAAGCAUAUUAUAUCAAAUAAUGACGUUUUUUUAAAGUAUCAAGAAAUAAAACGUCAUUAUUUUAAAAUUUUGUAGUAGUGUGCAAAAGCUAAUUUUUUUUAAACACCCAAAUUCUUUUCUUUUUUUUCUUUUAUGUUGUCACAUAGGUACCCAUCCCGAAUCCAUAAAUCCUUUUUUUCUUUUUCUCAAUACCCUAAGUGAGUGUAUAUAUAUAUAUAUAUAUAUAUAUAUAUAAGAUAUAUUAUUUAUUUAUUAUUGUUUUAGAUUUACUAAAAAAAUAUUGAGAAUUUCCAAUCUCUAUCAAUAAAUCAACAUUUAUUCAUAAAUUUUCACUAUUUUUUAUUUAGAAUUUAAAUAAACAAAUUAUAUUCAAGAUUGAGAUUUUUUAAAGAAUAUUUAAGUGUUUAAAACUAAUUAACAAAUCUAAAAUACUAAUUUAAGGGUUAAAAUUCUACUUGAAAAACUAAUUUUCAAAUCCUAAACCUCCAAAUCUUCAAUCCUAUAUUGUCUUAUGUUUUUUUUAUCUUUUUCUAAUCUCAAUGUAAAAGGGUUUCUAUAUAAAGAAAUCAAAAAAAUCUAAUUUAUAUUUAAGGUUUUUAAUGCAAAAAGACCUUUCUAACCUUAUUAAAUUUAUUUAUUUUUUUCUUUUACUCUAAUUUAUGGUUUUACCCUUAACAAUAAAACGGGGGGUGUUACAUAAAAAGCUUGUUAGAAAAAUUAGGCUAAUCCAACCUAUGAUAAUCACCCUAAAGAGGGGGUGAAUAGGGUGAUAGUCUCUUUUUGCAAAUUUAAACUAUGUGAAAGUAAGAGACAAUUAUAUGUAAGUAUAUAAUAAACAAUAUAAAGACGUACAAUUGCAUAUAAAUUAAAAGAGUAGGGAAGAGAGAAUGCAAACACAAGAUUUUAUAGUGGUUCAGCGCAACCCGGCCUACAUCCACUCUCCUCUAGCUUCAAUCCAAAGCUUGAGGUUCCACUAAUUCAAGGCUUCCAAACCAAGCCUUCAAGCAAUAUAAUUGGACUAUGGUUCCAAUUCACCCUCUUGGACUUUUGGCUCCAAGCACCCUUUACACUUCUCAAGAAAUAUCCCACUCUUAAACAACCCCUAGAGUGAUACCACACACUUGAGAAACUUCCUCUCAAAGAUUUACAAAUAAAUGAUCUCAUAAAAUCUUAGUACAAAAACUUUAAACUCAAAUGAUACAAGAAAACUAGAAUUGAAUGGUGCACUAAAGAUAUGCAAAUUUUAGAACAAUGGUGCACUCAAAAAUACUCUUCCAAUGCUCAAAUAUAUUCAAGAAAGGUUUGGGAAGGUUAAGUUUCUUAAACAAUAAAGAUUGGAGCCUUUUUAUAGAAGAAAAAAGUCAAACUAGUCGUUGGGGGUUCGAUCGAUUAACUAGCCAUUAGCAUUUAAUGUUGGCAGGUGACUGUUGGACCUCGACCAGACCUCAAUCGGUUGAGGUUCAACCUUGACCGGUUGAACAACCGUUUUAGAAGAAAGAGAAAAUUUUUUGCACCAUCGACCGGUUGAGCUGGGGGUCAACCAGUUAUUGUUCAUACCCUUGACCGGUUGAAUUAGGGGUUGACCAAUUACUAUUCAUGCCCUUGAUCGGUUGAGAUAGGGGUCGACCGGUUACUGUUCAUCCGGUUUAACUGGUUGAGCCGUUUUUGGUUCAACAAUCAACUUUUUCAACUUAAAACCUUUUAAACAAGUUUGAAACAACAUUUGACACAAGGUUUUAGUUGAAAAUAUGAAAUCAUCCAAUUUUAAAAAUAUUUUAAGCACAUUAAUGUGGUCUUCUUGAGCAGUAAAGCAAUUAUAGUAAUUAUUAAUCUUCAUCUAAUUAAUCAAGUAAAAUAAUUAUCAUUAAUUAUAAUAAUUCAUUUUUUUAUUGUGUAGAUAUUAUCUACUUUACUACAAUGCGCAUCUACGACUUUUUGUCUUAUUGAUGAGUUAGGUAAUGUUUGCUCACCCAUUUCAGCCCUUUGCAGUGCCUGUGUCCAUGCCUUUAAUGCUACGUCCGUAUUUCCAUUUAUCAGCUUAGGUUAGAUAAAAUAUGCAGAAGGUAAAAUCAGACAUAAUAGAAAUUAGGGUCUGUAUGUCAUAUAUUUGUGCGCGAAUUUGGGAUCGGGUUGAAGUAAAAAAGUCAAAAUGAAAUUACAAUAAGAGUACGGUAAAGGGAUAACGUUGGGACAGCAGUACUGAUGUACACUUCAAGGAAGUAGGCCAUGGCAUGUCAUGCCACCUGGAACAAAAUAAGGGGUUCUACAGAUUCUCUUAUCGGAAUCAUUUGAGAUAUAGGAUGGAUGCAUAGAAGGGAAGGAGACGACUCCUCUAAAACUUGUGUUUGUGUGUAGGUGAGAAGUUGGGAUUCCCUGAUCAAUUAAAGAUGGCUGAGGAGAGGGAUCCAGUAGAGUUGGGCAUGGCACUCGGCGCAGAUUCGAACAUGAAAGAAGACAGCGUAACAGCUAAGAAGAGGGCAAAACGGUGGGCAAUCACCGCAGAAGCGAGCAUGGAAAGAGAGAAGGGGAUGCUUGAUCAAGAUGAAGAUGACUUGUGUGUAGGUGAGAAGUUGGGAUUCUCCGAUCAAUCAAACAGGGCUAAGGAGAGGGAUCUAGUAGAGUUGGGCAUGGCACUCGACGCAGAUUCAAACAUGAAAGAAGAUAAGGAAACAAGUAAGAAGUGGAGGGCAGAUUCGACACUGAUCAGCUCAGAUUCGACGAUGGAAGAAAACCCUGCACCGCCUGAGAUGUGGGUGCCAGAAACCUCGCCAAUCUUCGCAGAUACUAAGAUGGCAAUAGACAUCAGCUCAUAUUUCACAAUGAAAGAAUGCCGUGCAUCGCCGUGGGCGCGAGAAUCCAUCAUGUUAGGCAUGCCAAUCACCGCAGAAGCGAGCAUGGAAAGAGAGAAGGGGACGCUUGAUGAAGAUGAAGAUGAAGAUGAAGAUGAAGAUGAUUUGUUUGUAGGCAUGCCAAUCUCCGCAGAUGCGAACAUGGAAACAGAAAGGACAAUGCUUCUUGUAAGAAAUAUAAGUGCUCCUUCCACACACGGACCCCACGCCCCCGCUGAUGAAGAUGAAGAUGCGGAGCAUAAGAAAUUAAUGGACCGCCGCAUGCACGCGCUAGCGACCCAAGGAAAUGUUGAUGGCUUUAUUAAAAUUUUAGGCUCGAUAUCCUCCGAACAGAACCCACUUCUCUGCCAAGUUAGUCCCCGGAAAAACACAUGCCUCCACAUAGCAGCAAGCUUUGGACACCAUGAUCUUGCCAAGUACAUCGUGAAAGAGUGUCCAGAUCUUAUAAAAAAUAAAAACUCCAAAGGCGACACGGCACUUCAUAUUGCUGCUAGAAAAAGGAAUUUAUCUUUCGUUAAGAUUGUCAUGGAUUCAUGCCCUUCUGGAGGUGGCGCAUCCCAAGAUGUAGAGAAGGCUGAGCCUUCAUUGCUGGGAAUUGGUAACAAAGAAGGAAAUACAGUGUUGCAUGAGGCACUGAUAAACCGUUGCAAACAAGAAGAGGUGGUGGAGAUCCUUAUUAAGGCAGAUCCCCAAGUGGCUUAUUAUCCGAAUAAGGAGGGAAAGUCACCAUUGUAUCUAGCUGCAGAAUCACACUACUUCCACGUCGUAGAGGCUAUAGGAAACUCUGAAGUUGAGGAGCGCAUGAAGAACAGAGACCGCAAAGCAGUCCAUGGUGCCAUUAUGGGAAAGAAUAAGGGUAUUUCCCGCCUCCUUCUCUCUCUCUAUUAAAUUUUCUUCUUCCUCUUCAAACUUAAAAAGCAUUGUUUGCAAUGACGAUGGGGCUUAAAUAAUCUGUUGCUUCUAACCAUAGAAGAAGUCUACUGGGCUUGUCUCAGCUUUUGCUUCAAUAUUCCUUGUUCCUAAAAAUUCAAAUUUUUUUAUUAAUUUAUGGGAGAUCCAUAAUAUUUACAACUCUUCUUUCCCAACCCAAACCCCGUCGUAAAUAUUCUUCAUCUUUGUUUUCAAAAUCCUAAUCCUAUUUUGUCAUCUUCUAAUUAUUCUUCUUCAAAACUCCAGUCCUAAUUAAUUCUUUAUUUUAUUUUCUAAAUCACAAAAAUUUAAAAUUAACUAUAAAAAAAAAAAAAAAAAAUUGCAGUUACAUAUGGCUUCGUUGUGUGCAUAUGGGAUGGUUUAAUUAAAUAGAGGGGGUAAAAAGGGCCGUAAGAGGGAAGAACAAUUGUCUGUAUAGUUUGGGGUUGACUUCAAGUGAUCAUUUAAGAUUUGAUUUCGAGAUUAAGGUUAGAGUUAGGAUUUUUCUUUUCCCUUUUUUUUUCUUUAUGUUAUAUGUUUCUUAUAGAUGCGAUGAAGUAGAAUGGAUCCUACACAUUUGAAAGAAACACAAAUUAUAAAUGAUGUGAUGAUUUUCUAUUAUUCCCCAUUUAACUAUUGCAAUAUUAUUAAGAGUAUGGAUGGGAAUAAGAUAGGUGUUUACAGAAAUCAUCCCGUUGAGUUUGAAAUUUAAAUAAAUGAGGUUUGAAAUGAGUUUGAGAUUUUUUCAAAGAAUUAAACAGAGCCAAAUGGGGUGGGACAUGUAUGAGGACGUUUAAUUUUUUUUUAUUGGGAUGGGACUUAGAAAUAUUUUGAAUAAAUGAGAUGGGGGUUGGGAUAGAAGUGACCAUCCCGAAUCCACCCCAUUUCAAUCCCUAAUUAAGAAGAAGAUAAUGUAAAUAACAAAAUUUACAGAAUUUUUAAAAUCCAAGGAGGGAACUUAUAAUUAAAGGAAGCUUUUAAAAGGAUGGGCACCCCAUGUGGUACAACCUCACACCAAAUUGAUACUGUUUUGUUGAAUUACAGAUAAUAAAAUAAUCAAUUAAAAAAAAUCUCUUUUCUAUUUUUAUAUUAAUUUUCCUUCCUUAUUUUAAUUAUCUAAUAAUUGAACCCUUUCCAAACAAAAAAAAAAGCAAUCUUAAUUUUAUUUUUUAUAUGUGAAUUUUUUUUUAUGUAAUUUUAGUUAUUAAUGACUUGCACUCAUAUAAUAAUAUAUUUAUUAGAAAAAGGUUGUUUGAAACAUUCAUAUAAAUUUUUCUUUUAUAUAUGAUGAAAAAAUGCCAGAGAUGUUGGAAAAAAUACUGGCCAUGAGGCUCGUCCACCAAAAAGACGAAGAUGGAAGGACUCCACUUCAUUGUGCAGCAUCCAUUGGAUAUCUCGAAGGAGUUCAAAUGCUGUUAGACCAAUCUAACUUGGAUCCAUAUCGAACGGACUCUCAUGGCUUCUGUCCCAUCCAUGUUGCAUCAAUGAGAGGCAAUGUGGACAUUGUCAAAAAGUUGCUCCAGGUCUCCUCUGACUCAGUAGAGUUGCUAAGCAAACUCGGUGAGAACAUUCUUCAUGUGGCAGCCAGGUAUGGUAAAGACAAUGUAGUCAAUUUUGUGCUCAAAGAAGAAAGGCUUGAGAACUUUAUAAAUGAGAAGGACAAGGCUGGAUACACGCCACUGCAUUUGGCAACCAUGCAUAGACAUCCCAAGGUCGUAAGCUCUUUAACAUGGGAUAAAAGAGUUGAUGUGAAUCUUGUGAAUGAUUUAGGCCAGACUGCUUUGGACAUUGUAUUAUCAGUGGAGCCUCCAACUACAUUUGACCAGGUAUAUCUAUAUGAUGAUUUGCAUCUUGUUUUCUAAAUGAUGGGUACUACUAGUAGUUUCACCCUUCAACUGCAUGCCAUGAGUAGGAAAUUAGAAUGCCUCAUCCAUGCAUUGUUACAGUGCUAUGGCAUUUUCCUUCUUAGAUGCAUGCAUGCAAUUAAAUUAUUAAAAGGAUCGAUCAGGACAACAUGGUUUGUUUUCCUUUCCUAGAAGGACCGACUAAUAUUAAUAAGAACUAGAUCAACACUUCAACUCAAGCCACUAACCCUUGAUUGAAGGUCAAUUUGAGCCCAAGAUAUCCUAAAAGUCAAGAAAAUUAUGGAGCCUAACUCAAUCACCAUCACCCUCGCCCAGAUUAGAGCGACUCAACCAAGGUUAGGCUAGGUUUCUCCAGCAAGUGCAUAUACUCUUGAUGUCGGCAAAGACUUAUGGGAAUAAUUUUUUGCAUCAUACUAAAAAGUUUUCAGUGUAGAGAACUGCUAUAUCAUGUGCGCUUGUGGUUGCUCUCUUGCUGCUUCACAUUGCUUAAUUUCAUACUUCUAGUGGGUGUUCAUUGAAUUUACAGGGAAAAGAGAAUAGCUUCCCAACAAAAUAUUACGAAACCCAACUCAUGGAAUUAUAGUCUACUUUUAGUUAUUAUUACGACACAUACAUUUUAUGUUCUCUCUUUCUCACGAUUACAUUAACAGCAACAUUUUUUUCUCUACUACGCAGGCACUAAUUUGGACAGCACUCAAAUCUGCUGGUGCACGACCAGCGGGAAAUUCAAAGUUCCCACCCAAUAGACGUUGUAAACAGUACUCUGAAUCACCUAAAAUGGACAAGUACAAGGACAGGGUAAACACUCUUUUGUUGGUUUCGACCCUUGUUGCCACAGUGACAUUUGCUGCUGGUUUUACCAUGCCAGGUGGCUACAACAGCUCCGACCCAAAUGUCGGCAUGGCUGCCUUGCUGAUGAGAAAUAUGUUCCAAAUGUUCGUCAUCUGCAAUACCACUGCUAUGUAUACCUCCAUCCUCGCGGCAAUCAUCCUCAUCUGGGCACAGUUAGGUGAUCUCAAUUUGAUGGAUACUGCCCUCAGAUUUGCAUUGCCAUUCUUGGGGUUGGCCCUUACUGCGAUGUCCUUAGGCUUCAUGGCAGGUGUUUACCUGGUGGUCAGUAAUCUUCAUUGGCUUGCAAUUGUUGUCGUCAUUAUUGGAAUCAUCUGCCUUGUCGGUCUCCUAGUACCCUUUUUUUUACUUUUCCUCCCAAGUAAGUCUACUAAUCGUAUCCUUAGGCACAUCUCCUAUUAUCCGUUUCUUAUAUUGGUAUGGGCAUCUAAAAGCCCCGAAAUGAAACGGGAAGAUUAGCUAGCCCUGUUGAUGAUGUCUGCUAGCUCCAUCUUCCCCUAUGUUUGUUGCUUCUUUCAGCAUUAUCUCAAUGACUUGGUAGACAAAGUAUGUUAUGUAUAAAUGCUUAGUGUGAUAUAUUGAUGGUGUUGUACAUGACCAUUUCUUAUAUAAAUCUAUGGUUUUUGGAUCUAUAAUUAGGUAGUUCUAUAUAUAUUUCAAUAAAUACUCCAUUCAUACAUAAAUAACCUGAAUUCGUUAUUAAUAGGUUCAGUUUAAUUUAUUGAUUGAAAUUUGAAUUUGCAAUUGCAAUUUUUACACUUUUUUAAUUAUUAUUAUGAGAAUUUUGAUUUUCAAAUCGGUUGCAUCUUCUACAUUACAAUUCAUUGGGAAGGGGAAAAGGUUUUAAUUUUGGAAAAAAAAAAUUUAUUGGCUUUUGAGUUCCAAAGAAUUUUUCAAAAUUAAGGAGUUUAAUAAUUUUUUAAAAAUAAUUUGAAAAUAAAAUAUCGAGGGAGUUAACACUAGAACUAAGAAUUAGUUGAAAAUGACUAUAUUAAUCUCUAGUUUAUGCACAAUUAUAUUUUUCAUUAUAUUUUAUUAUAUUAUUAAUAUUCAUAUUUUAUUAAAAAUUAUUUAUUUUGAAUUUAUUUAUAAUUAAAAAAUUAUUUUUAUUUUUAAUAAGACACAAAUUAAAUUUAACUUAUAUUAUAUAAAUUAAAUUUAUAAUUUUGUGAUUUUUACAAAAUAAAAAUAAAAUUUAUUUUUAGAAACAACUAAUUUAAUUCUUAUAAUCAUUUAAGUUAUCUAAAUAUAGAAAUAAAUGAGAAAAUAAUGGAGAUCUUCAUUUCCAUUCCUGUUUUACCGCGUGGCAAACAGUCCCUCAUCUUAAUUAAUAACAUAACAUGAUUUAUAUAUUUGAUGGACGGUAAAAUCAACCCUUUGUUUGGUAACUCAUAUUGUAGUAAACCCUAAGUUGAGUUUGAUGAUAGUCGGACGUAUUGAUGACGGAUUUGACGGACAUAACGUUCAAACCCGCUCAAAGACUCAAUCAAACCCACAGAACUUCACAACUGAUUAAAAUAAUUUUAUAAACCAAAAUGAUCAAACUUUGUAGUUUCUGGGAUUCGUGUUGAUGCUUCCAAAUAGGUUCCAAGAUGUUCCCAGUGAGUUUGGAAAAGAGAGAAGUGGAUUCCUUGAGCUUCUCAAACAUUUUCUAAGAAAUUGUCAAACACUUGGUCUCUUCAUCUAACCCGUAUGAUUCAAACACACCCAUGAAGACUUUUCUUCAUAGGACGUCACAUUUCAAACUCCAGCAAACGAGUAAGAUAUUUGAGUUGCCGUGCUUCAUAUCCAUUCCGUGUCUGUUGGAAGUCCUAUGUGAUGUAAGUUGGACUAUCAAAUGAAUUUCUUUUAGUAUCAUAUUUUUUAUUCAACUUAUCAUAUGUAUGUAAUGCAUAGGUUCUUCUCUCACAGAUUGACUUGGCCCUUACUUCCAUCCCAAGCAAGAAAGUGCAGGUAUCUCAUGGCCGGCAGUGGACUAAUGAUAUAUGAACUCAUUUUAAAUUGGGUCUGACUAACUUGGCCACUGGGGUUGUUACCUCGAAAGGACUUGAGUGGGGUUCAUGUUUAAGUCUUUCUUUUUUAAUCUAGGUAUGUACUGUGUGUGCUCUCUUCUUAUUUUAGUCGAAUUCAAAGAAUAGUUGUUUCUUCCUAGUCUUGGUAAGUGGUUGCUCAAGGAUAUCAUAUUAAGAUUUUUAUUAUUUUUAUUUUCUGUUUUUGACUUAGUGCCUUCUCAAGAUUUUGAAUUGUCAAAAAAGCUGGUUAUAUUGUAUAAACAAUCAUCAUAGUAUUAGAAUUAGCAUAUAUAAUUUGGUAUUGAUGUGCAUGUUCUCUUCCUCUGUAUGACCUAUCCUUUGCGAUGAAGUAUCGGACUGGUUUCUUUGUUGCCAUUAUUUCUUUUUUCUUUUAAACUUCUUAAACCAACAUAAAUACAAGCACAGCUAACGGAUUUGAUUAGGCAAGUCAACUACAAUAGGAGAUAUUAUGAGACAAGACGAUUUAAUGAUGAAUUUUGAGAGGCUAAGAAAGCAGGGGAGGGGAGAAAGAUGGAAGACAGGGAAACAAAGGCAAAAACAACCCAAGAAGCAAGCCAUCUUGGCAAUCUCUGAGCUUAAGGAUGCCAAAUUAUUGGAGGACUAUGUGACAGCUAGUUCCAUGGAUCCUGAUUUGUACAGAGCUACGAUACAAGGAGACAUUCUUGAAUUCAUAAAAGCCGUGGAACAAGGACCAGACAAUAGACACGCUGGUGUACCUGCUGCAUCUUGUAUCCAAGUGACCCCUCAGAAGAACACAGUUCUUCACCUAGCAACGAUCUUUGGACAUGACGAGAUUGUAAAACUCAUUUCUAAGGACUUGCCCUUUCUUGUCAUGGAAAGAAAUUGCAGAGGUGACACUGCACUUCACAUUGCAGCCAGAGCUGGCAAUUCACUGCUAGUGAAUUUGUUGAUUAAUUCAACAGAAGGGGUUUUGGGUGUGAAGAAUGAGACGGGUAAUACCGCAUUGCAUGAGGCAUUGCAACAUCGUCAUGAAGAGGUGGCCUGGAAUAUAAUUAACAAGGACAGAAAUAUGUAUUGUUCUGUCAAUAAGGAAGGAAAAUCUUUGUUGUAUUUGGCCGCAGAAGCAGGAUAUGCAAAUCUUGUUAGGUUUAUAAUGGAAAAUCCUGCAGGAAACUACAGCAUUGAAGGAAAGCUCGAGAACAAACCAUCUGUGAAAGCUGCCAUUCUUGGGAAGAAUACAGGUAAAUGAAAUUCUCUCCUCUAAUCUCCCUUUUUUUUCCCUUUAUUGGUAUGCUUGUCUUUCAAUUUCAGACUUCCAAGAGUCUGCACUUGGAUUGGAAAUUUUUAAGUGACUGCACUUUCACACUUCUUAGUUUUUUCCUACAAAAAGCCCUGCAACUACUAUAAACCACCCAAUUCUCUGCACCUGUGAAUCAGAAAACUUUACCCAAACUAUAUUGCAUCCAAUUGUCACCAUUAAAAGGUAAUGAUAUCAUGGCACAUAAGAGCAUUCUCAUUUUUCUGGAAGUUGGAAGACCUCAAUUAUUUCUUGCUUAAUUAAUUGGUGAUAUUCCUGUGCUUCCAUGUUUGAACUAGUGUGUCCAUUGUAAUCUCCUUCCAUGGAUUUCCUUAGGUGUGGCUGCCCAUCAAGAAGAGAUCAGGAAUAGUCCAGAAAUAUUACUGUCUUAUUCUAAUCACAUGAGUAUCUAGCAGUAAAGAAAUAUAUCUGUAGUAGCUGAUUUUUUUAGAUAGGUCCUCUAGUAGCCAAUCGACCUUUUUUCUUUACAAGAAGGCUUCUAUUGUGACUUGUGAAGACAGUGAUAAAUUGACAAUAUUUCUGAUUAUCAUUUGGAUUUAGGAGCAUAUUUUACCAUAUAUUUUGUUCUCACACAUGGCAAGAUUUUCAUUUAAUGUGUUAUCAUCAGUCCUGUGAUCACCAAAAAAUUCGCUUAAAUAUGGUUCACACUUCUUUGUUUGUUUGUUUUCAUUUUUUUGUUUUGGGCGACAUUAGAUGUUCUCAAGAUAAUGUGGGAAAGAGAUCAAUCAUCCUUCAAUUUAAGAUGUGAAGAAGGGAGGAACCCUCUUCACUAUGCAGCAUCUAUUGGUUUUGUUGAAGGAAUCAAUUACUUUUUAGACAAAUACUGUAUCGCUGCUUACCAAGGGGACAAAGAUGGCCUCUCUCCUAUUCAUAUAGCAGCCAUCAAAGGUCAUUUCCACAUAAUUCAAGAGAUGCUCCAGCAUCGCCCAGAUUUGAUGGAGCUGCUCACUUGCAAAGGCCAGAAUACCCUUCAUGUCGCAUGGUACUUGACUUUCAAUUAUUUUAUGCUGAUGGUGGUAUGGUACUUGACUUUCAAUGAACAAUGGUUAACUUUUGGUGAGAUGUAUUUGCUGGUGUAUAACCUGAUAUUUUUAGUUUGAAUAUUCUGAGGGAUAAAAAAGAAAUAAUGAUAUUUAAAUAAGUAUUUUUUAUUUAACAAUAUUAAUAAUUUUAUUUAUGAAUUUAUAUUUAUCUUUUAUUUAAUUAGUAAAUAAAAUAUAUAAUAAGAUAAUUAAGAUUAACUUAUUUAUAAUAAUUCUAUUUUAAUUCAUUAAUAAUAUAAUAUAUAUUUAUAAUUUAUCAAUUAUGUCUUCCCUAAACAAAAACUUUGUCCAUUGAUAUAGGUCAUUUCUUAAUUUGUUCGAGAAUCUAGGUUUAUUUUCUACUCUUGUGGGCUAGUGAAUUUUUUUUUUUUUUUUUUGAAGUGUAAGUGUUACAAUAACCCCACAUCAGAAAUAAAAAAACACCCCCUAACCCUAACGUACCGUACAAAUGAUCUUUUAUUAACUUAGACAUUUACUUGACCAAAGCAAAAGCCAUUAGAUGCUUGUCUUGUAAUGCAAUCUUGCCCUUUGUUCAAUUCACAGCCUUAAAUGAUUCACUGUCAUCCAAUAGAUGGAAAUGGUGAUCUUAAUCGGUUUUUAAAAAUAAAUAAUUGUUUUUGUAUAAUUAAAAAUUAAUUAGGAUUAAAGAUUAAAAAACAAGACUAAAGUUUAAAUUUUGUUUGAAUUUUAAAAUUUAGAAAUUUAAAAAUAAAAAAAUGUAAAAUCAGAAAGGAUUGAAAUUAGGAUCUGUAUAUGAUAUAUUUGUGCGUCGGUAUAGAAGAUUGGGAUUGGAUUGAAGUAGAAAAUUCAAAAUGAAAUUACAAUAAGAAUACGGUAAAGGGAUAACGUUGGGACACCACUACUGGUGUACACUUCCAAGGCUGGAUGUAAAAGAAGGCCAUGCCAUGUCAUGCCACCUGGAACAAAAUAAGGGGUUCUACAGAUUCUCUUAUCGGAAUCAUUUGAGAUAUGGAUGCAUAGAAGGAAAGGAGACUCCUCUAAAACUUGUGUAAACUUGUGUUUGUGUGUAGGUGAGAGGUUGGGACUCUCCGAUCAAUAAGGAACUCGGAGCAGAUUCGAACAAGGAAGAAGGCGGGGAAGGGCAGAUGGCACCACACAUGCCAUUCUCCGCAGAUGUGGACAUGGAUAGAGAUAGAAGUGCUCCUUACAGGUAUAAACACAUCGUCCCUGCAAUCUCCGCAGAUAGAAGUGCUCCUUCCACACAUGUGGGCAUGGCUAGAGAUAGAAGUGGUCCUUCCACACAUGUGGGCAUGGCUAGAGAUAGAAGUGCUCCUUCCACACAUGUGGGCAUGGCUAGAGAUAGAAGUGCUCCUUCCACAUAAGGAGUCGUCGCUCCCGCCGAUGAAGAUGAAGAUGUGGAGCAGGAUAGAUUAAUGGACAGCCGCAUGUACAUGCAGGCGACCCGAGGACGUGUUGAUGAAUUUAUUCAAAUUUUAGAAUCGAUAUCCUCUGAAAAGGAACUUUAAAGCUCAGAAAUCCUCUCCCAAGUUAGCCCCCGGAACAACACAUGCCUCCACAUAGCAGUAAGAUUUGGACACCAUGAGCUUGCCGAGUACAUCGUGAAAGAGUGUCCAGACCUUAUCAAAAAGACAAACUCCACAGGCGACACUGCACUUCAUAUUGCUGCUAGAAAAAAGGAUUUAUCUUUCGUUAAGUUUGCCAUGGAUUCAUGUCCUUCUGGAAGUGGCGCAUCCCGAGAUGUAGAGAAGGCUGAGCAUCCAUUGCUGAUCAUUGUUAACAAAGAAGGAAAUACAGUGUUGCAUGAGGCACUGAUAAACCGUUGCAAACAAGAAGAGGUGGUGGAGAUCCUUAUUAAGGCAGAUCCCCAAGUGGCUCAUUAUCCGAAUAAGGAGGGAAAGUCGCUAUUGUUUCUAGCUGCAGAAGCACACUACUUCCAUGUCGUCGAGGCUAUAGGAAAACCUAAAGUCGAGAAGCACAUGAACAUUAACAGAGACCGCGAAGCCAAGCCGGCAGUCCAUGGUGCCAUUCUGGGAAAGAAUAAAGGUAUGACCCGUCCCAUUCUCAAUCUCCAUUUAAUUCUCCUGCUCUUCUUCUUCUUCUUCAAACCUAAAAAACACCAUUUCCAAUAAAAUCUUAAACCUAUAUUCGAUUCUCAUAGUUGAAAAAAAAAUUAUUAAGGAAAGUGAUUUUCUAAUAUGCUGUUUUACCAUGAAAACAUGAAAGAAAGUGAAAUAUAAUUAAAAUUAAUAAGAAAUUUAUAUCAUUUAAAAUUAUUUAAUUUUUAUAUAGAAUAGUUAAAUAAGUAAAAUGAAUUUAAAGUAAUAUAUAAAAAUAAUUUAUCAAUUUAAAUUUUUUAUUUUUCCUUUUUUAAUUUUUCUUCUUUAUUUUCUAUUUUCACAUAUUCCCUCAAACUUUGGGACCAAACAUAACCUAAAUGAUCACUUGAAGUCAAUCCCAAACUAUCCAAACAAUUCUUCUUUCUUAUAGCCCUUUUUGCCUCCCCUCUAUUUAAACCAGCCAAUAUGCACGCAACAAAGCCACAACAGCAAAUUUUCUUUAGUUAAUUUUAAAAUUUUGUGAUUUAGAAAAGAAAAUUAAGAAUUAGGAGCUAGUGGGGUUUUGAAGAAGAAUAAGAAGAUGACAAACUAGGAUUAGGAUUUUGAAAACAAAGAUGAAGAAUAUUAUUUACAAGGACGGGUUUGGGCCGGGAAGAGGAGUUAUAAACAUUAUUGAUCUCCCAUAAAUUAAUAAAAAUUUUAAUUUUUUAGGAACGGGGAAUAUUGAAGCAAAAGAUGAAAAAAAAAAAAAAAGCCAAUUUACUUUUUCUAUAAUUAGUUCAACAGAAAAACAUAAAUGUGUUCUCAUUUUAAUUUCUUUUAUAUAUGAUGAAAAAAUGCCAGAGAUGUUGGAAAAAAUACUAGCCCUGAAGAUCGUCCACCAAAGAGAUGAACAUGGAAGGACUCCACUUCAUUAUGCGGCAUCGAUUGGAUAUCUUGAAGGAGUUCAAACGCUGUUAGCUAAAGACCAAUCUAACUUCGAUCGAUAUCAUAGGGACGACGAAGGCUUCUUACCCAUCCAUGUUGCAUCAAUGAGAGGCUAUGUAGACAUCGUCAAAGAGUUGCUCCAGGUCUCCUCUGACUCAAUAGAAUUGCUUAGCAAACACGGUGAGAACAUUCUUCAUGUGGCAGCCAAGUAUGGUAAAGAUAAUGUAGUCGAUUUUCUGCUGAAAAAAAAAGGGGUUGAGUACCACGUAUGCACAUCCUAAGGUCGUAAACUAUUUAACAUGGGAUAAAAGAGUUGAUGUGAAUCUUGUGAAUAAUGAAGGCCAGACUGCUUUCGACAUUGCUGUAUCAGUGGAGCAUCCAACUUCAUUGCACCAGGUAUAUAUGACGAUUUGCAUCUUGUUUUCUGAAUUAAGGGUACUACUAUUGGUUUCACCUUGAACUGCAUGCAUUGUUAAUGCUAUGGCAUUUUCCUUCUUAGAUGCAAGCAUGUGAAUUAUUAAAAGGAUCAAUCAGGAAAACAUAGUUUGUAUUUCUUUCCUAGAAGGACCGACUGAUAUUAAUAAAACCUAGUUCAACUAAAAGAAGAUCAAUUUGAUCCCAUGAUAUCCUAAAAGUCAAGAAAAUUAUGGAGCCUAACUCAAUCACCAUCACCCUCGCCCAGAUUAGAGCGGCUCAACCAAGGUUAGGCUAGGUUUCUCCAGCAAGUGCAUAUACUCUUGAUGCCGGCAAAGACUUAUUGGAAUAAUUUUUUGCAUCAUACUAAAAGGUUUUCAGUGUAGAGAACUGCUAUAUCAUGUGCGCUUGUGGUUGCUCUCUUGCUGCUUCACGUUGCUUAAUUUCAUACUUCUUGUGGGUGCUCAUUGAAUUUAUAGGGAAAAGAGAAUGGCUUCCCAACAAAAUAUUUCGAAACCCAACUCAUGGAAUUAUAGUCUACUUAUACUUUCUAUAGUUAUUAUUACGACGCAUACAUUUGAUUUUCUUUCUUUCUCACGACUACAUUAACAGCAACAUUUUUCUCUCUACCACGCAGAGACUAAUUUGGACAGCACUCAAGUCUACUGGUGCACGACGAGCCGGAAAUUCAAAGGUCCCACCAAAACUGCCUAAAUCACCUAAUACGGACCAGUACAAGGACAGAGUAAACACUCUCUUGUUGGUUUCGACCCUUGUUGCCACCGUGACAUUUGCUGCUGGUUUUACCAUGCCAGGAGGCUACAACAGCUCUGAUCCAAGUGCCGGCAUGGCUAUCUUUCUGAUGAGAAAUAUGUUCCAUAUGUUCGUCAUCUGCAAUACCAUUGCUAUGUAUACCUCCAUCCUCGCGGCAAUCAUCUUCAUCUGGGCACAGUUACGUGAUCUCAAUUUGAUGGAUACUGCCUUCAGAUUUGCAUUGCCAUUAUUGGGGCUGGCCCUUUAUGCAAUGUCCUUCGGCUUCAUGGCAGGUGUUUCCUUGGUGGUCAGUAAUCUUCAUUGGCUUGCAAUUGUUGUCUUCAUUAUUGGAAUCAUCUGCCUUUUCAGUCUCUCAGUACCCUUUCUUUUACUCUUCCUCCCAAGUAAGUCUACUAAUCGUAUCCUUAGGUACAUCUCCUAUUAUCCGUUCCUUAUACUGGUAUGGGCAUCUGAAAGCCCCGAAAUCAAACAGGAAGAUUAGCUUGCCCUGUUGAUGAUGUAUGCUAGCUCCAUCUUCUCCUAUGUUUGUUGCUUCUUUCAGCAUUAUCUCAAUGACUUGGUAGACAAAGCAUGUUAUGAAUAAAUGCUUAGUGUGAUCAGAACUUCAAUAUAUUGGUGGUGUUGUACAUGAUCAUUUGUCAUAUAAAUCUGUAGUUUCUGGAGCUGUAAUAUGUGAAAUACUCUAUAUAUAUUUCAAUAAAUACUCCAUUCAUCCAUACUGAUCAAUGCAUAUUUGUCUUUGCUUUAAAAUUUUUUAGAAAAGAAAAAAAGAAAAAAAAAUCUUGGAAAUCCCAAAAUGAUUAAUUUGAGAAAUAUCAUUAUUUAACAAAUAAAAAAACACAUGAAUAUAUAAACCCCACUACGUCAUUUUCUUUGAAGUACCCUGUUGCGGAUUUGAUGAGAAAAAGGUAAUCAAAUGGCAUAGCAUAAAAUUUAAAUUAGAGUUUUCUCAUCAAAAUGUGCAGAAUUAAAACCUUUACUAAAACAAUUGAUUUUUAGGAACCAAAUUUUGGUGAAAAAAAAAAAUCAUAAUUCAUCUAUAAAACUAAUUAUUGACAAUAAACUUUUACAUUUCUUACAAACUAUUUAAUGAUGAUACCUUAGUGAUUAACUUCUAAACUCAUUUAUAAAAUGUAACAUUAGACUUUGUUUGAUUUUGAAGAGUUUGAAAGGAAAUGCAAAAGAAAGAAAAAAAAAGAGGAGAAAAAUAAAAGGAAAGAAAAAAUAAAUUUAAAGUGAAUAAAUUAUUUUGAUAUAUUAUUUUAAAAUUUUUCAUUUAUUUAAAUUUUUAUAUAAAAAUAAAAUAAUUUAAAAUCUCAAGAUUACUAAAAAAUAUCUUGGGAUAGCAAAAAGUUUAUGAUCUUUUUCCUACGUGGAACAAGUGAUAAUUGAGCACCACCUAUUCAAUCCCUCUAAUUAGUUAUGAUUAUCUUAUUUAAUUAAUGAUUUAUGUAUUUCAUAGAUAAGUUGACAAUUUUAUUCUAUACAUUUUAAACUAAAACUCUAUAUACUUUCUUGUAACCAAUUAGAGUCUACGGAUGGUAAUGGGGUGGAUUUUUUUGAGUACUUGCCCGUCCCAUCCUUAAUGGAAUGGAUUUGAAUUUUAACUAAAUGGGUUUAGGAUGGGUUUGGAAAUUUUUUUAAAACUUGGGGUGAAUUUGGGUGUUGUCUUGUCUCAUCCCACCAUAUUAUAUAUAAAAUUAAUUUUUAAAAUUAAAUUAAAUUAAUUUUUAUUUUACUAUUUUUACUAUGUAGAUAAUAAUGAAAUAUUUUUUUUUAAUAAAAUAAGUUAUAAAAAAUAUAAUAAUUUAAUUAUUUAUAAAAUAUAUUUAUUUUAAUGUAAUUAAAAAAAAUUAAAAUUUAAAAAAAAAAAAAAAAAAGUUAAACUGGGUGGGAUGGGGUGGGGCAAGUAUGAAAAUUUCUCAUACCCAUCCCUUCCUGUUUAAUUUUUUAAAUGGGGCAGAGAUGAAAAUUAUUUUUAAUAAAUGGGACGAGGUUGGGAUGGGGGUGACCCGUCCCAUUGCCAUCCUUGCUAGAGUCUGGAAUCGUAAAAACUCAAGAUUACUCACAAUUCAUCUAGGAAUAGCCAAAGUUAAUGAUCUUGUUUCUACAUAGAGCAAGUGAUGAUUGAGGACCAUAUAUCUAGUCUGUCUAAUUAGUUAUGUGAUGCAAGGUUAAAAACCUUAUCUUAUUUCAUAACAUGAUUAUAUUUUAUAGAUCAUAAAAUCAAAUCUUUGUUUGGUAACUCAUAUUUAGUAAACCUUAAGAACCUAAAUUCCCCACGUGUUUGACAUAGAUUCGAAAUUUUGAACCCAAUUUUAAGUUGAGUUUGAUGAUAGUCGGACGUAUUGAUGACAGAUUUGACGGUCAUUACGUUCAAACCCGCUUUAAAAGACUCAAACCCACGUAACUUUGAAUUGGUUAAAAUAAUUUUAUAAAGUGAAACGAUUAAACUUCUUACUUUUUGGGAUUGGUGUUUGUACUUCCAAAUGAUGUUCCUAGUGAGUUUGGGGAAGAGAGUGAUAGGAUUUCAGAAUAAUUAUAAGCCUAAUUCUUGCAAAACAAUCAUCACAUUGGUCUUAAAACUUUGUGAUUUUCUCAAAGUAAAUAAAUAAUCAAGAAAACAAUCGUUAAAUUCUAACUUUUAAACCAUGUCUAGAAAAAUAAAGUUUAAACCAAAAAUCCUAAUAAUAUCAAAAUCUCAUCCUAAUUAUCAUUCAUCACCUGAUCAGAUGGUACUUAAAAAAUUGUUAAUGAAGGGAAAUGAACUUAAAACCUAAUAAGAAAUAUUAAUACAAUUUCACAAAUAAAAUAUUUUUAAUAAAGAUUAUAAAAAGAAGAUAUGAUGUAUAAUCAUUUUCAUAAAAACUUUUUAGUUCAAACAUCCUAAUACAUUCAAACUUUUCAAUAAAACAUUUUUAUAUUCAUGUCAAACAAUUUUAUAUUAAAUUCAAAUAAAUUGUAUUUAAAAUAUUUUACUCUGAUUAUCAAAUAUCAAAUGGUACUCAACUAUGUGAGACUUUACAAAUGGACGGCUACUCUCAAAUUUGUUCCUUUUAAGACAAAACUAAACACUACUAAUACUAGUAAUCUCUAACCAAACCUUUAGAUGUUGGGGUUCAAAUCAAUUGCAUUCUUCAUCAUAAAAUGUAAAUGUUAACUAUUAUAUCGUGUUAAUAUGGACUAAAAAGUCAAAUAUUAUAUCCAAUUGAUAAAGACCAAAAAGUCGAUUAUUAUAUUCCGUUACCUAUGACCAAACAAACCAAAGUCAAACACUUUGUUUUAUUUAUUCAAACUUAUAAAAACAUAAUAUUUUCACAUAUUUAUGUUAUAAACAAAAGAAAAGGUUUUAAUAUAUUUUUCAUGAAAAAUAUAUUUGCUUUAUGCAUAAAAACAAAAAUAACAUUUUACACAUUUCAAAAUAACAUGUCAAAAGAAAAUCAUUUUUUAUUAUAAAAUCCUCAUUAAUUUCCCUUACCUCGAAAAACAUUCAUAAUCCUUGAAGAAUUUAAUUCCAUAUAAACAAAUUUUCAUCUAAUAACAUAAGAAAAACAAUUAUUACUAUUAAUUAUUUGUCUAAAAUUAUAAGUUUGAUAAUCCUAAAAUUUUAUAUAUUAAUAUUAAUAAGUAUCAAUGAUAAUUUAAUUAAUUUAUUCCUUAUUAAAGUAAAAUUAAUAAAUUGCUAAUUUAUAUAAAACUUUUUUCUUAAAUUUGAUUCUAAAAAACAAAAAUACAUUACUAAUUUAAUUAAACUACAAUUUUUAUUUCAUUAAUUAAAUUUUAUUUAUUUAUUAACUUAACAUCUAUCCUCAUUAGCAUUAUUAUACCAUCAACUAACCCAACUCUCAACACCUACUUAAUAUUAUAUAUAAAGGUAGGACUCGCUUGCUUAUCUUUUUCUUAUUUUAUUUCUUUUCUUUCUUGCACAAACCACACUCAUGGCUACAUUCCAUUUUAUUUUAUUUUUUUAAUACACACUUACAAAAAUCACACUGUACACACUCGCCAAGGAACCAAAAGCUUUUUUUUUUUAAACACCCAAAUUCUUUUCUUUUUUUUCUUUUAUGUUGUCACAUAGGUACCCAUCCCAAAUCCAUAAAUCCUUUUUUUCUUUUUCUCAAUACCCUAAGUAUAUAUAUAUAUAUAUAUAUAUAUAUAUAUAUAUAUAUAUAUAUAAGAUAUAUUAUUUAUUUAUUAUUGUUUUAGAUUUACUAAAAAAAUAUUGAGAAUUUCCAAUCUCUAUCAAUAAAUCAACAUUUAUUCAUAAAUUUUCACUAUUUUUUAUUUAGAAUUUAAAUAAACAAAUUAUAUUCAAGAUUGAGAUUUUUUAAAGAAUAUUUAAGUGUUUAAAACUAAUUAACAAAUCUAAAAUACUAAUUUAAGGGUUAAAAUUCUACUUGAAAAACUAAUUUUCAAAUCCUAAACCUCCAAAUCUUCAAUCCUAUAUUGUCUUAUGUUUUUUUGAUCUUUUUCUAAUCUCAAUGUAAAAGGGUUUCUAUAUAAAGAAAUCAAAAAAAUCUAAUUUAUAUUUAAGGUUUUUAAUGCAAAAAGACCUUUCUAACCUUAUUAAAUUUAUUUAUUUUUUUCUUUUACUCUAAUUUAUGGUUUUACCCUUAACAAUAAAAUGGGGGGUGUUACAUAAGAAGCUUGUUAGAAAAAUUAGACUAAUCCAACCUAUGGUAAUCACCCUAAAGAGGGGGUGAAUAGGGUGAUAGUCUCUUUUUGCAAAUUUAAACUAUGUGAAAGUAAGAGACAAUUAUAUGUAAGUAUAUAAUAAACAAUAUAAAGACAAUUGCAUAUAAAUUAAAAGAGUAGGGAAGAGAGAAUGCAAACACAAGAUUUUAUAGUGGUUCGGCGCAACCCGGCCUACAUCCACUCUCCUCUAGCUUCAAUCCAAAGCUUGAAGUUCCACUAAUUCAAGGCUUCCAAACCAAGCCUUCAAGUAAUAUAAUUGGACUAUGGUUCCAAUUUACCCUCUUGGACUUUUGGCUCCAAGCACCCUUUACACUUCUCAAGAGAUAUCCCACUCUUGAACAACCCCUCAAGUGAUACCACACACUUGAGAAACUUCCUCUCAAAGAUUUACAAAUAAAUGAUCUUAUAAAAUCUUAGUACAAAAACUUUAAACUCAAAUGAUAUAAGAAAACUAGAAUUGAAUGGUGCACUAAAGAUAUACAAAUUUUAGAACAAUGGUGCACUCAAAAAUACUCUUCCAAAGCUCAAAUAUAUUCAAGAAAGGUUUGGGAAGGUUAUGUUUCUUAAACAAUAAAGAUUGGAGCAUUUUUAUAGAAGAAAAAAGUCAAACUAGUCGUUGGGGGUUCGACCGAUUAACUAGCCGUUAGCAUUUAAUGUUGGCAGGUGACUGUUGGACCUCGACCAGACCUCAACCGGUUGAGGUUCAACCUUGACCGGUUGAACAACCGUUCUAGAAGAAAGAGAAAAUUUUUUGCACCAUCGACCGGUUGAGCUGGGGGUCGACCAGUUAUUGUUCAUACCCUUGACCGAUUGAAUUGGGGGUUGACCGAUUACUAUUCAUGCCCUUGAUCGGUUGAGAUAGGGGUCGACUGGUUACUGUUCAUCCGGUUUAACCGGUUGAGCCGUUUUUGGUUCAACAACCAAAUUUUUCAACUUAAAACCUUUUAAACAAGUUUGAAACAACAUUUGACACAAGGUUUUAGUUGAAAAUAUGAAAUCAAAACAAAAUAAUUCUUGGAUGAUUUCGGUGCAUAUGUAAAGAAUGUAAUGCAUGGAAAUCCUAGUGCACCAACAAUCUUAUAAAAAGAUCUUAUGAAACUUGGGUCUUAAAAAACACUUCUCUUUGAGGUGGUCUUCUUCUUCAUGAUUUUUCUUUGGCUUGAUUUGUCUUUAUGAUUGCCACUUUGGAAAUCGUCUUACUUAAUUACACUUGAAAUAUAAUCAUUAGUUCUAAACUUUGUUUUGUUAUCAUCAAAACCGAGAUUGACCGAAUCUUGAUUUCACAAAGCCUAAUAAUAUUUUAAAUAAUUUGAAAGUAAAAAAUCGUGCUAGAACCAAAAAUUGUUUGAAAAUGAGUACAUCAAUUUCUCACCUAUGCACAUUCUUUUUAAAAUUUUCUUAUUAUGUGAAUGAGUUUCAAAUAAAAUGAUAUUUAAUGCACUGGAUUGGUUAGCAAGUCUAAUGAUUUUUUUUUAAUUAAUUUAGAACUUAAAAAUGGGCUCAAUUAAUUUCAAAAUUUCAACCAAAAUAGUUAAAAAUAUCCCAAAUGUAUGUGUAUUAAAAGAAACUAAAUUAUUCAUAUAACUAGAAAGAGUAAAUUCAUAACUUAUUUAAAAAUAAUAUUAACUAUUAACAUUUUCUAAAAAUAUUAUUAUUCAUUUAAAAUAUAUAUAUAUAUACUUGACAUUAUUAAAAUAUCAGCAUUCAUAUUUUAUAAUAUCCACUAUAUAAUUCUAUUUUUUUUUAAAUAUAUAUGAUUUUUAUUUUUAUUAUAAUGUUAGUUUCAUAUUUUAUGAAUAUUAUCUGUGUAUUAUUUAUUUAUUUCAUAUUGAUCACUUAGAAUUUAUAUGAUAUUGAUAUUCAUUUUAAAAUAAAUUUAGGUUUAUGUGGCUAUUUUUAAAAUACUAUAAUUCAUUAUUAGAAAGUUUAAUAUAUUAUUAGUUAUUUUUUUAUAGAAAAUGUGUUUUAAAAAAAUGUUUAAUAAAUAAAUAAAUAAAUAACCAUUUAGCAAGAGGGGUUUGUAUAGUGGGUGAGAAAAAUGAAAUAAAAUCCAUGACGCUAGGAGAUCUUUUUCAUCGCAAUGAAUCUAUUAUAUAAAGGAAAAAUGUGAAUGAACCAUUUGCCAUGUUAAUUUUUUUGAAAUAGUGUAAGGAAACAUAUUUUGGUUGUUACAUGUUUUCCAUAAGAAAAGUAUGUUUGGAAACUUUCAAAUUUUUUUUUAAUAAUAAUAAUAAUUUUUAUUUACAGUACUUUAUUUAUUUAUUUUUAUUUUUCAUAUUUAUAUAAUUAUUUUUUAAAACAAAUAAAAAUAAUUAAAAUAUGUUCUUAAAAAACUCUAUUUUUUAAAUAAGUUCUCAAAAAUAAUAUUUUAUAUUAAAAAUAAUAUUUUCUAACUGACAAGAAAAUUCCAAACUUAUUCGUAAGAAAUGUGGUUCAUGAUUGGUUGGUGGUUAGUCACUAUCCAUUUAAUUCAUAGAAUUAAACGUUUAUACACCUCAUCUACCAACAACGGUUGUAUCCUCAUCGUGUCAUGUGCAUACCAUUUAAAAUUCUCAAAUAGAAAAAUGAAAUGAAAAUUAAUAUAAUUUUGAUUUAUUAAUAUAUUUGGAUUAAUUGUUUUAUAGAAUGAGAAUAUGAAUAAAAAAUUUAUUAGUAUAGAAAUCAAAUUCCACUCUUAUGAGGAUUUUGAUUCAUUUAUACUAUGUCAUAGUGUUUUACCUUACGCUUGGGUUGAAUAGUAUAUAAUAUCCAUAUCUUAGAAUAUCAUAUCCCCUCCUUAUUCAACUUAUUUGCAAGAUUUGUAUUUGUCAUUCAAAAGUCAUCUUUUAACACGACAAUUAAUACAAAGCUAUUAUGUAGUCAUAUAUUUAUCACUUUUUUUUUUAUGUUGAUAGUGAAUUUAACUUUUUACGGUUGUAUCUUAUUUUUAUAUAAUUAUAUUAUAUUUAUUUUAUUUUUUAUAUUAAUUUUUAAAUGUGACUCACAAUUGGUUGGAGGGUUAGAGACUUCAUAAUAUUAGAAAAACAAGUUACAUCCUCAUCCUAUUGACAUGGUAACAACGUGUAAAUCUUUUUGUCUAUCACUCAAAAACCACAUUUUAGUGAGGCAACCUAUACAAAACCAUUGCGUAGUUAUAUAUUUGUCUCAACUUUUCUUUAAGUUGACAAUGAAUUUAAUUUUUUGCACAAAUAUCUUAUUUUUAUAUAAUUGUACUCCAUUUAUUCUUUUAUAUUAAUUUUCAAAUGUGGCUGAUAAUUGGUUGGUGGUUUAGUUAUUAUCAAUGGUUUAAACUAAUCCAAUUAUUGACUAGUGACCUUUUCGAUCCAAUUCACACCUUUAAGUCGUUUUAUCAUUGAAUUUAUAUUACUCAAAAACAAGUUACAUCCUCAUCCAGCUAACAUGCUAAUGACAUUUCAAGCUUUUCAUCAGUAACUCAAAAGCUAGAUUUUAGUAGGAGAGCCAAUAGAAAGCCAUUUUAUUGUCAUAUAUUCGUUUCAAUUUUUAUUUUUUAUAUUGACAAUGAAUUUAAGGUUUUUUUUUUUUGCCCUUUUAAUAUAUAUAUAUAUAUAUUCCAUUUCUCUCUUUCAUAUUAAUUUCCAAAUGUGAUCUGGUUGGUGGGUUAGUCAUUGUCUAUUAAAUUCAUAUCACCCACCAAAUUUAGUUGCAUCCUUAUUAGGCUAACGUGUCAAUAACAUGCUAACAACAUUUAAAAAUUUUCAGUAAGACAAUGAAUACAAAGUCAUCAUGUGUCAUACAUCUGUCUCAAUAUUUUUACAUUUUUUUUUUUUUGCACUUAUAUCUUAUUUUUAUAUUAUUAUAUUUCGUUUCUCUUUUUUGUAUUAAUUCUUAAAUGUGACCGAUAAUUGGUUGGUGGGUUAGUUGUUGUUCAUUGAAUUUAUAUCACCCAAAGAGCUAAGUUGCAUCCUCAUCUAUCUAACAUGCUAAUGACAUUUAAAACUUUUUAUUUGUUACUCAAAAGUCAUUUUUCUGUAAGACAACCAAUACGAAGCUAUCAUGUAAUCAUAUAUUCAUUUCAAAUUUUUUUAAUCUAUUUUUUAUUUUUGGUGUUGACAAUGAAUUUAAUUUGUUACACAUAUAUUAUUUUUAUAUAAUAAUAUUUCAUUUCCUUCUUAUAUAUUCAUUUUCAAUGAUGACCCAUAAUUGGUUGGUAGAUUAUUCAUUAUUCAUAUAAUUAAUAUCACUAAAAAAUAACUUGAAUCAUCAUCUAGUUCAUAUAUUAAACCACAUUUAUUAUUUACAUUUUUCAACCAAUUUAAUUUGUUGAUAAUAACGACGGUCCAAAUUUAUGAGAUAGUCUGUUGUUAAAAAAAUUUUAUUGGUAACGGAAAAUUCUCAUCGAUAGACUUUUGUCAACACAUUUUUCCCUAACUAUCAUGUAUUGAGAUUAUCCAUUGAUAAAUGUUUAUUCAGAUAGUAUAUAUUAAUGAAGAAAAGUAAAAAAUUUUGUAAUGUGUUAACAAUGAGUUUAAUUUUUUGCACUAAUUAAUAUUUUAUUUUUAUAUAGUUAUAUUUCAUUAAUUUUUUUUUAUAUUAAUUUUCAAAUGUGGAUAAUUUUUCGGUGGAUUAGUCAUUGUUCAUUGAAUUACAUCGGUUCCAACAUGGUAGAAGCCAACUAUAACAAAAGUUGUAUCAUCAAAUGAAGUUCAUUUAAACCAGUUUAUCUCAAUUCAAUUUAUCAUUAAGCCAGUCUAUUUUUGGGGUUUUGUUUUGUGUUGCACCAUAAUGCAAUUAAGUUGUUUGAUGAGAAGUCUAGCCAAAUUUGACAUCGGUUGACCCAUGCAAGUUGUAUGAUGAAAACCCAUCUAUUUGUACCAUGCAUGGAAAAAAAAACAUACAUGGCAUUAUUAAAUUUCAGACUAUAAUGUAAUGCCAUGAUCAAAAGGGUCGAAAAUACGAGAAUAAUUAAACUUAGGAAGUUAAAAUGAUAGCAAAAUUUUAAGCACAUUAAUGUGGUCUUCUUGAGCAGUAAAGCAAUUAUAGUAAUUAUUAAUCUUCAUCUAAUUAAUCAAGUAAAAUAAUUAUCAUUAAUUAUAAUAAUUCAUUUUUUUAUUGUGUAGAUAUUAUCUACUUUACUACGAAUGCGCAUCUACGGCUUUUUGUCUUAUUGAUGAGUUAGGUAAUGUUUGCUCACCCAUUUCAGCCCUUUGCAGUGCCUGUGUCCAUGCUUUUAAUGCUACGUCCGUAUUUCCAUUUAUCAGCUUAGGUUAGAUAAAAAAUGCAGAAGGUAAAAUCAGACAUAAUAGAAAUUAGGGGCUGUAUGUCAUAUAUUUGUGCGCGAAUUUGGGAUUGGGUUGAAGUAAAAAAGUCAAAAUGAAAUUACAAUAAGAGUACGGUAAAGGGUUAACGUUGGGACACCAGUACUGAUGUACACUUCAAGGAAGUAGGCCAUGGCAUGUCAUGCCACCUGGAACAAAAUAAGGGGUUCUACAGAUUCUCUUAUCGGAAUCAUUUGAGAUAUAGGAUGGAUGCAUAGAAGGGAAGGAGACGACUCCUCUAAAACUUGUGUUUGUGUGUAGGUGAGAAGUUGGGAUUCCCUGAUCAAUUAAACAUGGCUGAGGAGAGGGAUCCAGUAGAGUUGGGCAUGGCACUCGGCGCAGAUUCGAACAUGAAAGAAGACAGCGUAACAGCUAAGAAGAGGGCAAAACGGUGGGCAAUCACCGCAGAAGCGAGCAUGGAAAGAGAGAAGGGGAUGCUUGAUCAAGAUGAAGAUGACUUGUGUGUAGGUGAGAGGUUGGGAUUCUCCGAUCAAUCAGACAGGGCUAAGGAGAGGGAUCUAGUAGAGUUGGGCAUGGCACUCGGCGCAGAUCCAAACAUGAAAGAAGAUAAGGAAACAAGUAAGAAGUGGAGGGCAGAUUCGACACUGAUCAGCUCAGAUUCGACGAUGGAAGAAAACCCUGCACCGCCUGAGGUGUGGGUGCCAGAAACCUCGCCAAUCUUCGCAGAUACUAAGAUGGCAAUAGACAUCAGCUCAUAUUUCACAAUGAAAGAAUGCCGUGCAUCGCCGUGGGCGCGAGAAUCCAUCAUGUUAGGCAUGCCAAUCACCGCAGAAGCGAGCAUGGAAAGAGAGAAGGGGAUGCUUGAUGAAGAUGAAGAUGAAGAUGAAGAUGAAGAUGAUUUGUGUGUAGGCAUGCCAAUCUCCGCAGAUGCGAACAUGGAAAUAGACAGGGAAACGCAUCUUGUAAGAAAUAUAAGUGCUCCUUCCACACACGGACCCCACGCCCCCGCUGAUGAAGAUGAAGAUGCGGAGCAUAAGAAAUUAAUGGACCGCCGCAUGCACGCGCUAGCGACCCAAGGAAAUGUUGAUGGCUUUAUUAAAAUUUUAGGCUCGAUAUCCUCCGAACAGAACCCACUUCUCUGCCAAGUUAGUCCCCGGAAAAACACAUGCCUCCACAUAGCAGCAAGCUUUGGACACCAUGAUCUUGCCAAGUACAUCGUGAAAGAGUGUCCAGAUCUUAUAAAAAAUAAAAACUCCAAAGACGACACGGCACUUCAUAUUGCUGCUAGAAAAAGGAAUUUAUCUUUCGUUAAGAUUGUCAUGGAUUCAUGCCCUUCUGGAAGUGGCGCAUCCCAAGAUGUAGAGAAGGCUGAGCCUUCAUUGCUGGGAAUUGGUAACAAAGAAGGAAAUACAGUGUUGCAUGAGGCACUGAUAAACCGUUGCAAACAAGAAGAGGUGGUGGAGAUCCUUAUUAAGGCAGAUCCCCAAGUGGCUUAUUAUCCGAAUAAGGAGGGUAAGUCACCAUUGUAUCUAGCUGCAGAAUCACACUACUUCCAUGUCGUAGAGGCUAUAGGAAACUCUGAAGUUGAGGAGCGCAUGAAGAACAGAGACCGCAAAGCAGUCCAUGGUGCCAUUAUGGGAAAGAAUAAGGGUAUUUCCCGCCUCCUUCUCUCUCUCUCUCUAUUAAAUUUUCUUCUUCCUCUUCAAACUUAAAAAGCAUUGUUUGGCUUAAAUAAUAUGUUCCUUCUAACUAUAGAAGAAGUCUACUGGGCUUUUCUCAGCUUUUGCUUCAAUAUUCCUUGUUCCUAAAAAAUCAAUUUUUUUUAUUAAUUUAUGGGAGAUCCACACUCUUCUUUCCCAACCCAAACCCCGUCGUUGCAAAUAUUCUUCAUCUUUGUUUUCUGAAUCCUUUUUUGUCAUCUUCUUAUUCUUCUUCAAAACUCCACUCCUAAUUAAUUCUUUAUUUUCUUUUCUUUUCUAAAUCACAAAAAUUUAAAAUUAACUAUAAAAAAGAAUUGCAGUUGCAUAUGGCUUCAUUGUGUGCAUAUGGGAUGGUUUAAAUAGAGGGGGUAAAAAGGGCUGUAAGAGGGAAGAACAAUUGCCUGUAUAGUUUGGGGUUGACUUUAAGUGACCAUUUAAGAUUUGAUUUCGAGCUUAAGGUUAGAGUUAGGAUUUUUCUUUUCCCUUUUUUUUCUUUAUGUUUUAUGUUUCGUAUAGAUGCGAUGAAGUAGAAUGUAUCCUACACAUUUGAAAGAAACACAAAUUAUAAAUGAUGCAAUGAUGUUCUAUUUUUCCCCUUUUAACUAUUGCAAUAUUAGUAAGAGUAGGGAUGGGAAUGAGACAAGUUUUUACAGAAACCACCCCAUUGAGUUUGAGAUAAAUUUGAGAUUUUUUUUAAAAAAUUAAAUGGAGCCAGAUGGGGUGGGACAUGUAUGAGGACGUUUAAAUUUCUUUUAAUGAGAUGGGACCAAGAAAUAUUUUGAAUAAAUGAGAUCGGGGUUGGGAUAGAGGUAACCGUCCCAAGCCCACCCCAUUUCAAUUCCUAAUUAAGAGGAUGAUAAGGCAAAUAACAAAAUUUACAUAAUUUUUAAGAUCUAAAGAAGAACUUAUAAUUAAAGGAAGCUUUUAAAAGGAUGGGCACCCCAUGUGGUACAACCUCACACCAAAUUGAUACUGUUUUGUUGAAUUAUAGAUAAUAAAAUAAUCAAUUAAAAAAAACUCUCUUUUUUAUUUUUAUAUUAAUUUUUCCUUCCUUGUUUUAAUUAUCUAAUAAUUGAACCCUUUCCAAAAAAAAUAAAAAUAAAUAGCAAUAGUAGCAAUUACUAGUUUACUAUGAAUUUAUCUUAAUUUUAUUUUUUAUAUGUUCAUAUUUUUUAUGUAAUUUUAAUUAUUAAUGACUUGCACUCAUAUAAUAAUAUAUUUAUUAGAAAAAGGUUGUCAUAUAAAAUUUUUCUUAUAUAUGAUGACAAAAUGCCAGAUAUGUUGGAAAAAAUACUGACCAUGAAGCUCGGCCACCAAAAAGACAACCAUGGAAGGACUCCACUUCAUUGUGCAGCAUCCAUUGGAUAUCUCGAAGGAGUUCAAAUGCUGUUAGACCAAUCUAACUUGGAUCCAUAUCAAACGGACUCUGAUGGCUUCUGUCCCAUCCAUGUUGCAUCAAUGAGAGGCAAUGUGGACAUUGUCGACAAGUUGCUCCAGGUCUCCUCUGACUCAAUAGAGUUACUAAGCAAACGCGGUGAGAACAUUCUUCAUGUGGCAGCCAAGUAUGGUAAAGACAAUGUAGUCAAUUUUGUGCUCAAAGAAGAAAGGCUUGAGAACUUUAUAAAUGAGAAGGACAAUGUUGGAAACACGCCACUGCAUUUGGCAACCAAGCAUAGACAUCCCAAGGUCGUAAGCUCUUUAACAUGGGAUAAAAGAGUUGAUGUGAAUCUUGUGAAUGAUUUAGGCCAGACUGCUUUGGACAUUGUAUUAUCAGUGGAGCCUCCAACUACAUUUGACCAGGUAUAUCUAUAUGGUGAUUUGCAUCUUGUUUUCUAAAUGAUGGGUCCUAUUAGUAGUCUCACCCUUCAACUGCAUGCCAUGAGUAAGAAAUUAGAAUGCCUCAUCCAUGCAUUGUUACAGUGCUAUGGCAUUUUCCUUCUCAGAUGCAUGCAUGCAAUUAAAUUAUUAAAAGGAUCGAUCAGGACAACAUAGUUUGUUUUCCUUUCCUAGAAGGACCGACUAAUAUUAAUAAGAACUAGAUCAACACUUCAACUCAAGCCACUGACCCCUGGUUGAAGGUCAAUUUAAUUGAGCCCAUAAUAUCCUAAAAGUCAAGAAAAUUAUGGAGCCUAACUCAAUCACCAUCACCCUCACCAAGAUUAGAGCGACUCAACCAAGGUUAGGCUAGGUUUCUCUAGCAAGUGCAUAUACUCUUGAUGUCGGCAAAGACUUGUGGGAAUAAUUUUUUGCAUCAUACUAAAAAGUUUUCAGUGUAGAGAACUGCUAUAUCAUGUGCGCUUGUGGUUGCUCUCUUUGCUGCUUCACAUUGCUUAAUUUCAUACUUCUAGUGGGUGUUCAUUGAAUUUACAGGGAAAAGAGAAUGGCUUCCUAACAAAAUAUUACGAAAUUAUAGUCUACUUUUAGUUAUUAUUAGGACACAUACAUUUUAUGUUCUUUCUUUCUCACGAUUACAUUAACAGCAACAUCUUUUUCUGUACCACGCAGGCACUAAUUUGGACAACACUCAAAUCUGCUGGUGCACGACCAGCGGGAAAUUCAAAGUUCCCACCCAGUAGAUGUUGUAAACAGUAUUCUGAAUCACCUAAUACGGACAAGUACAAGGACAGGGUAAACACUCUUUUGUUGGUUUCGACCCUUGUUGCCACAGUGACAUUUGCUGCUGGUUUUACCAUGCCAGGUGGCUACAACAGCUCCGACCCAAAUGUCGGCAUGGCUGCCUUGCUGAUGAGAAAUAUGUUCCAUAUGUUCGUCAUCUGCAAUACCACUGCUAUGUAUACCUCCAUCCUCGCGGCAAUCAUCCUCAUCUGGGCACAGUUAGGUGAUCUCAAUUUGAUGGAUACUGCCCUCAGAUUUGCAUUGCCAUUCUUGGGGUUGGCCCUUACUGCGAUGUCCUUAGGCUUCAUGGCAGGUGUUUACCUGGUGGUCAGUAAUCUUCAUUGGCUUGCAAUUGUUGUCGUCAUUAUUGGAAUCAUCUGCCUUGUCGGUCUCCUAGUAUCCUUUUUUUUACUUUUCCUCCCAAGUAAGUCUACUAAUAGUAUCCUUAGGCACAUCUCCUAUUAUCCGUUUCUUAUAUUGGUAUGGGCAUCUAAAAGCCCCGAAAUGAAACGGGAAGAUUAGCUCGUCCUGUUGAUGAUGUCUGCUAGCUCCAUCUUCCCCUGUGUUUGUUGCUUCUUUCAGCAUUAUCUCGAUGACUUGGUAGACAAAGUAUGUUAUGUAUAAAUGCUUAGUGUGAUAUAUUGAUGGUGUUGUACAUGACCAUUUCUUAUAUAAAUCUAUGGUUUUUGGAUCUAUAAUUAGGUAGUUCUAUAUAUAUUUCAAUAAAUACUCCAUUCAUACAUAAAUAACGUGAAUUUGUUAUUAAUAGGUUCAGUUUAAUUUAUUGAUUGAAAUUUGAAUUUUCAAUUGUAUUUUUUAAACUUUCUUAAUUAUUAUUCUUAUGAGAAUUUUGGGUAAAGUUUUGUUUUCAAAUCCGGGUUACAUCUUCUACGCUAGGAUUCAUUGGGAAGGGGAAAAGCUUUUAAUUUUGGAAAAAAAAAAAAAAAAUUGGCUUUUGAGUUCCAAAGUAUUUUUAAAAAUUAAGGAGUUUAAUAAUUUUUUUAAAAUAAUUUAAAAAUAAAAUAUCGAGGGAGUUAACACUAGAACCAAAAAUUGGUUGAAAAAGACUAUAUUAAUCUCUAGUUUAUGCACAAUUAUAUUUUUCAUUAUAUUUUAUUAUAUUAUUAAUAUUCAUAUUUUAUUAAAAAUUAUUUAGUUUGAAUUUAUUUAUAAUUAAAAAAUUCUUUUUAUUUUUAAUAAGACACAAAUUAAAUUUAACUUAUAUUAUAUAAAUUAAAUUUAUAAUUUGUGAUUUUUACAAAAUAAAAAUAAAAAUUAUUUUUAGAAACAACUAAUUUAAUUCUUAUAAUCAUUUAAGUUAUCUAAAUAUAGAAAUAAAUGAGAAAAUAAUGGAGAUCUUCAUUUCCAUUCCUGUUUUCCGCGUAGCAAACAGUCCCUCAUCUUAAUUAAUAACAUAACAUGAAUUAUAUAUUUGAUGGACGGUAAAAUCAACCCUUUGUUUGGUAACUCAUAUUGUAGUAAACCCUAAGUUGAGUUUGAUGAUAGUCGGACGUAUUGACGACGGAUUUGACGGACAUAACGUUCAAACCCGCUCAAAGACUCAAACCCACAGAACUUCACAACUGAUUAAAAUAAUUUUAUAAACCAAAAUGAUCAAACUUUGUAGUUUCUGGGAUUGGUGUUGAUGCUUCCAAAUAGGUUCCAAGAUGUUCCCAGUGAGUUUGGAAAAGAGAGAAGUGGAUUCCUUGAGCUUCUCAAAACAUUUUCUUAGAAAAUGUCAAACGCUUGGUCUCAAAAUCUAACCCGUAUGAUUCAAACACACCCAUGAAGACUUUUCUUUUGAAUAUUUCAAACUCCAGCAAACGAGUAAGAUAUUUGAGUUGCCGUGCUUCAUAUCCAUUCCGUGUCUGCUGGAAGUCCUAUGUGAUGUAAGUUGGACUAUCAAAUGAAUUUCUUUUGAGUAUCAAAUUUUUUAUUCAACUUAUCAUAUGUAUGUAAUGCAUAGGUUCUUCUCUCACAUAUUGACUUGGCCCUUACUUCCAUCCCAAGCAAGAGAGUGCAGGUAUCUCAUGGCCGGCAGUGGACUAAUGAUAUAUGAACUCAUUUUAAAUUGGGUCUGACUAACUUGGCCACAGGGGUUGUUACCUUGAAAGGACUUGAGUGGGGUUCAUGUUUAAGGUGGUGUUUGUUUUUUUGGUUUUUUGCUGAAAGUAAUUUAAUUUUAGAAUUUAAGUCGUUUGUUUUUCUAAUUUUUCAUAACUUAUUAUAAACUUUUUACUAAAUAAAAAAAAUUAAAAUAUGUAGCUUUUUUUAAAUAGAAAAAAUAACAUAUUAGUUUUUUUUACUUUUUAAUACUUGAUAGAAAUAAAAUAUUACAAAAACAAAUAACCUAAUAUUUAACAUUAUUAAGUAUUAAGGUUCUAUUUAGAAUUAAGUAAAAAAACAAACACCACCUGAGUCUUUCUUUUUUAAUCUAGGUAUGUACUGUGUGUGCUCUCUUCUUGUUUUAGUCGAAUUCAAAGAAUAGUUGUUUCUUCCUAGUCUUGGUAAGUGGUUGCUUAAGGGUAGCAUAUUAAGAUUUUUAUUAUUUUUAUUUUCUGUUUUUGACUUAGUGCCUUCUCAAGAUUUUGAAUUGUCAAAAAAGCUGGUUAUAUUGUAUAAACAAUCAUCAUAGUAUUAGAAUUAGCAUAUAUAAUUUGGUAUUGAUGUGCAUGUUCUCUUCCUCUGUAUGACCUAUCCUUUGCGAUGAAGUAUUGGACUGGUUUCUUUGUUGCCAUUAUUUCUUUUUUCUUUUAAACUUCUUAAACCAACAUAAAUACAAGCACAGCUAACGGAUUUGAUUAGGCAAGUCAACUACAAUAGGAGAUAUUAUGAGACAAGACGAUUUAAUGAUGAAUUUUGAGAGGCUAAGAAAGCAGGGGAGGGGAGAAAGAUGGAAGACAGGGAAACAAAGGCAAAAACAACCCAAGAAGCAAGCCAUCUUGGCAAUCUCUGAGCAUAAGGAUGCCAAAUUGUUGGAGGACUAUGUGACAGCUAGUUCCAUGGAUCCUGAUUUGUACAGACCUACGAUACAAGGAGACAUUCUUGAAUUCAUAAAAGCCGUGGAACAAGGACCAGACAAUAGACACGCUGGUGUACCUGCUGCAUCUUGUAUCCAAGUGACCCCUCAGAAGAACACAGUUCUUCACCUAGCAACGAUCUUUGGACAUGACGAGAUUGUGAAACUCAUUUGUAAGGACUUGCCCUUUCUUGUCAUGGAAAGAAAUUGCAGAGGUGACACUGCACUUCACAUUGCAGCCAGAGCUGGCAAUUCACUGCUAGUGAAUUUGUUGAUUAAUUCAACAGAGGGGGUUUUGGGUGUGAAGAAUGAGACGGGUAAUACCGCAUUGCAUAAGGCAUUGCAACAUCGUCAUGAAGAGGUGGCCUGGAAUAUAAUUAACAAAGACAGAAAUAUGUCUUGUUCUGUCAAUAAGGAAGGAAAAUCUUUGUCGUAUUUGGCCGCAGAAGCAGGAUAUGCAAAUCUUGUUAGGUUUAUAAUGGAAAAUCCUGCAGGAAACUACAGCAUUGAAGGAGAGCUCGAGAACAAACCAUCUGUGAAAGCUGCCAUUCUUGGGAAGAACAUAGGUAAAUGAAAUUCUCUCCUCUAAUCUCCCUUUUUUUUCCCUUAAUUGGUAUGCUUGUCUUUCAAUUUCAGACUUCCAAGAGCCUGCACUUGGAUUGGAAAUUUUUAAGUGACUGCACUUUCACACUUAGUUUUUUCCUACAAAAAGCCCUGCAACUACUAUAAACCACCCAAUUCUCUGCACCUGUGAAUCAGAAAACUUUACCCAAACUAUAUUGCAUCCAAUUGUCACCAUUAAAAGGUAAUGAUAUCAUGGCACAUAAGAGCAUUCCCAUUUUUCUGGAAGUUGGAAGACCUCAAUUAUUUCUUGCUUAAUUAAUUGGUGAUAUUCCUGUGCUUCCAUGUUUGAAUUAGUGUGUCCAUUGUAAUCUCCUUCCAUGGAUUUCCUUAGGUGUGGCCACCCAUCAAGAAGAGAUCAGGAAUAGUCCAGAAAUAUUACUGUCUUAUUCUAAUUACAUGAGUAUCUAGCAGUAAAGAAAUAUAUCUGUAGUAGCUGAUUUUUUUAGAUGGGUCCUCUAGUAGCCGAUCGACCUUUUUUCUUUACAAGAAGGCUUCUAUUGUGACUUGUGAAGACAAUGAUAAAUUGACAAUAUUUCUAAUUAUCAUUUGGAUUUAGGAGCAUAUUUUACCAUAUAUUUUGUUCUCACGCGUGGCAAGAUUUUCAUUUAAUGUGUUAUCAUCAGUCCUGUGAGCACCAAAAAAUUCGCUUAAAUAUGGUUCACACUUCUUUGUUUGUUUGUUUCCAUUUUUUUGUUUUGGGCGACGUUAGAUGUUCUCAAGAUAACGUGGGAAAGAGAUCAAUCAUCCUUCAAUUUAAGAUGUGAAGAAGGGAGGAACCCUCUUCACUAUGCAGCAUCUAUUGGUUUUGUUGAAGGAAUCAAUUACUUUGUAGACAAAUACUGUAUCGCUGCUUACCAAGGGGACAAAGAUGACCUCUCUCCUAUUCAUAUAGCAGCCAUCAAAGGUCAUUUCCACAUAAUUCAAGAGAUGCUUCAGCAUUGCCCAGAUUUGAUGGAGCUGCUCACUUGCAAAGGCCAGAAUACCCUUCAUGUCGCAGCAAAGAGUGGAAGAGCUGAAGCAGUUAGUUAUAUGCUUAAAAAAAUGCCGGAGCUUGAGAAGCUUAUAAAUGAGAAAGAUAAGGAUGGAAACACACCUUUACAUUUAGCCACUAUUUUUGAGCAUCCAAAGGUCGUAAGAGCUCUAACAUGGGAUAAGAGAGUUAACCUAAAGGCAGAGAACAAUGGAAGGUUGACAGCACUUGACAUUGCUGAUGAGUACAUGGACACAAUGGUUUCUUUUCGCAAGGUGUGCUUUACAAACUAUUUGUUAGGGGCUAAUCAUCUCAUUUUACUUGUUUAUAUUUAUCAUAUUAUUUGAAAACAACAAACGUUUUUUUAAAGAAUAUAAACUUUUAAAUUAUGUCUUCCCUAAACAAAAACUUGGUCAUUUCUUAAUUUGUUCGAGAAUCAAGGUUUAUUUUCUAUUCUUGUGGGCUAGUGAAUUGUUUUUUUUAAGUGUUAAGUGUUACAAUAAUCCCACAUCAGAAGUUGGAGAGAAAAAAACACCCCCUUACGCAGCGUGCAAAUCGAUCAAGAUCAAGGCAAAAAGAGUAUAUAAUUUUGACAUUAAAUCCAAAAUUGAAAAAGGGCUCACGUGGCAAAAGUUCAAUAGUGAAAAAAAUGAAGCUAAGAAUAAAAGUAAAUAAAAGUUAAAGCUAAUAAGGUAAGCACAAUUCAUAGAGUAUUGAAGAAAAUGAAAGUAAGAAUAAAGGUAAUCGAAAGUUAAAACCAACAAGGUAAGCACAAUCCAUGGAGUAUAGAAGAAAAUGAAGUUAAGAAUAAGGGUAAUUGAAAGUCAAAUCAUAACAUCUUUUAUUAACUUAGACAUUUACUUGACCAAAGCAAAAGCCAUUAGAUGCUUGUCUUGUAAUGCAAUCUUGCCCUUGGUUCAAUUCACAGCCUUAAAUGAUUCACUGUCAUCCAAUAGAUGGAAAUGGUGAUCUUAAUCGGUUUUUAAAAAUAAAUAAUUGUUUUUGUAUAAUUAAAAAUUAAUUAGGAUUAAAGAUUAAAAAAUAAGACUAAAGUUUAAAUUUUGUUUGAAUUUUAAAAUUUAGAAAUAUUAAAAAUUUAGAAAUUUAAAAAUAAAAAAAUGUAAAAUCAGAAAGGAUUGAAAUUAGGAUCUGUAUAUGAUAUAUUUGUGCGUCGGUAUAGAAGAUUGGGAUUUUGGGAUUGGAUUGAAGUAGAAAAUUCAAAAUGAAAUUACAAUAAGAAUACGGUAAAGGGAUAACGUUGGGACACCACUACUGGUGUACACUUCCAAGGCUGGAGGUAAAAGAAGGCCAUGCCAUGUCAUGCCACCUGGAACAAAAUAAGAGGUUCUACAGAUUCUCUUAUCGGAAUCAUUUGAAAUAUAGGAUGGAUGCAUGGAAGAAAAGGAGACUCCUCUAAAACUUGUGUAAACUUGUGUUUGUGUGUAGGUGAGAGGUUGGGACUCUCCGAUCAAUAAGGAACUCGGAGCAGAUUCGAACAAGGAAGAAGGCGGGGAAGGGCAGAUGGCACCACGCAUGACAUUCUCCGCAGAUGUGGACAUGGAUAGAGAUAGAAGUGCUCCUUACAGCUAUAAACACAUUGUCCCUGCAAUCUCCGCAGAUAGAAGUGCUCCUUCCACACAUGUGGGCAUGGCUAGAGAUAGAAGUGCUCCUUCCACACAUGUGGGCAUGGCUAGAGAUAGAAGUGCUCCUUCCACACAUGUGGGCAUGGCUAGAGAUAGAAGUGCUCCUUCCACACAUGAACUCUACGCCCCUGCUCCGGAGGAGAGGCUAGCAUCCUUUAUACGCUUCGCAUUCUUAGUAUAUAGGGAAAUUGAAGAAAAUGAGAAGAUGCUUCAUCAAGGAAGUGGAAGUGCUCCUCCCACACAAGAAGUCGUCGCUCCCGCCGAUGAAGAUGAAGAUGUGGAGCAGGAUAGAUUAAUGGACAGCCGCAUGUACAUGCAGGCGACCCGAGGACGUGUUGAUGAAUUUAUUCAAAUUUUAGAAUCGAUAUCCUCUGAAAAGGAACUUCAAAGCUCAGAAAUCCUCUCCCAAGUUAGCCCCCGGAACAACACAUGCCUCCACAUAGCAGUAAGAUUUGGACACCAUGAGCAUGCCGAGUACAUCGUGAAAGAGUGUCCAGACCUUAUCAAAAAGACAAACUCCACAGGCGACACUGCACUUCAUAUUGCUGCUAGAAAAAAGGAUUUAUCUUUCGUUAAGUUUGCCAUGGAUUCAUGUCCUUCUGGAAGUGGCGCAUCCCGAGAUGUAGAGAAGGCUGAGCAUCCAUUGCUGAUAAUUGUUAACAAAGAAGGAAAUACAGUGUUGCAUGAGGCACUGAUAAACCGUUGCAAACAAGAAGAGGUGGUGGAGAUCCUUAUUAAGGCAGAUCCCCAAGUGGCUUAUUAUCCGAAUAAGGAGGGAAAGUCGCUAUUGUUUCUAGCUGCAGAAGCACACUACUUCCAUGUCGUCGAGGCUAUAGGAAAACCUAAAGUUGAGAAGCACAAGAACAUUAACAGAGACCGCGAAGCCAAGUCGGCAGUCCAUGGUGCCAUUCUGGGAAAGAAUAAAGGUAUGACCCGCCCCAUUCUCAAUCUCCAUUUAAUUCUCCUGCUCUUCUUCUUCUUCUUCAAACCUAAAAAACACCAUUUCCAAUAAAAUCUUAAACCUAUAUUUGAUUCUCAUAGUUGAAAAAAAAAUUAUUAAGGGAAGUGAUUUUCUAAUAUGCUGUUGUACCAUGAAAAACAUGAAAGAAAGUGAAAUAUAAUUAAAAUUAAUAAGAAAUUUAUAUCAUUUAAAAUUAUUUAAUUUUUAUAUAAAAUAGUUAAAUAAGUAAAAUGAAUUUAAAGUAAUAUAUAAAAAUAAUUUAUUAACUUAAAUUUUUUUUCUCUCUUUUUUUAAUUUUUCUUCUUUAUUUUCUGUUUUCACAUAUUCCCUCAAACUUUCGGACCAAACAUAACCUAAAUGAUCACUUGAAGUCAAUCCCAAACUAUCCAAACAAUUCUUCUUUCUUUGCUCUUUUUCUUAUAGCCCUUUUUGCCUCCCCUUUAUUUAAACCAGCCAAUAUGCACGCAACAAAGCCACAACAGCAAAUUUUCUUUAGUUAAUUUUAAAAUUUUGUGAUUUAGAAAAGAAAAUUAAGAAUUAGGAGCUAGUGGGGUUUUGAAGAAGAAUAAGAAGAUGACAAACUAGGAUUAGGAUUUUGAAAACAAAGAUGAAGAAUAUUAUUUACAAGGACGGGUUUGGGCCGGGAAGAGGAGUUAUAAACAUUAUUGAUCUCCCAUAAAUUAAUAAAAAUUUUAAUUUUUUAGGAACGAGGAAUAUCGAAGCAAAAGCUGAAAAAAAAAAAAAAAAAAGCCAAUUUACUUUUUCUAUAAUUAGUUCAACAGAAAAACAUAAAUGUGUUCUCAUUUUAAUUUCUUUUAUAUAUGAUGAAAAAAUGCCAGAGAUGUUGGAAAAAAUACUAGCCCUGAAGAUCGUCCACCAAAGAGAUGAACAUGGAAGGACUCCACUUCAUUAUGCGGCAUCGAUUGGAUACCUUGAAGGAGUUCAAACGCUGUUAGCUAAAGACCAAUCUAACUUCGAUCGAUAUCAUAGGGACGACGAAGGCUUCUUACCCAUCCAUGUUGCAUCAAUGAGAGGCUAUGUAGACAUCGUCAAAGAGUUGCUCCAGGUCUCCUCUGACUCGAUAGAAUUGCUUAGCAAACACGGUGAGAACAUUCUUCAUGUGGCAGCCAAGUAUGGUAAAGAUAAUGUAGUCGAUUUUCUGCUGAAAAAAAAAGGGCACGAGAACCUUAUAAAUGAGAAGGACAAAGAAGGAAACACGCCACUGCAUUUGGCUACCACGUAUGCACAUCCUAAGGUCGUAAACUAUUUAACAUGGGAUAAAAGAGUUGAUGUGAAUCUUGUGAAUAAUGAAGGCCAGACUGCUUUCGACAUUGCUGUAUCAGUGGAGCAUCCAACUUCAUUGCACCAGGUAUAUAUGACGAUUUGCAUCUUGUUUUCUGAAUUAAGGGUACUACUAUUGGUUUCACCUUGAACUGCAUGCAUUGUUAAUGCUAUGGCAUUUUCCUUCUUAGAUGCAAGCAUGUGAAUUAUUAAAAGGAUCAAUCAGGACAACAUAGUUUGUAUUUCUUUCCUAGAAGGACCGACUGAUAUUAAUAAAACCUAGUUCAACUAAAAGAAGAUCAAUUUGAUCCCAUGAUAUCCUAAAAGUCAAGAAAAUUAUGGAGCCUAACUCAAUCACCAUCACCCUCGCCCAGAUUAGAGCGGCUCAACCAAGGUUAGGCUAGGUUUCUCCAGCAAGUGCAUAUACUCUUGAUGCCGGCAAAGACCUAUUGGAAUAAUUUUUUGCAUCAUACUAAAAGGUUUUCAGUGUAGAGAACUGCUAUAUCAUGUGCGCUUGUGGUUGCUCUCUUGCUGCUUCACGUUGCUUAAUUUCAUACUUCUUGUGGGUGUUCAUUGAAUUUAUAGGGAAAAGAGAAUGGCUACCCAACAAAAUAUUUCGAAACCCAACUCAUGGAAUUAUAGUCUACUUAUACUUUCUAUAGUUAUUAUUACGACGCAUACAUUUGAUUUUCUUUCUUUCUCACGAUUACAUUAACAGCAACAUUUUUAUCUCUACCACGCAGAGACUAAUUUGGACAGCACUCAAGUCUACUGGUGCACGACGAGCCGGAAAUUCAAAGGUCCCACCAAAACCGUCUAAAUCACCUAAUACGGACGAGUACAAGGACAGGGUAAACACUCUUUUGUUGGUUUCGACCCUUGUUGCCACCGUGACAUUUGCUGCUGGUUUUACCGUGCCAGGAGGCUACAACAGCUCUGAUCCAAAUGCCGGCGUGGCUAUCUUUCUGAUGAGAAAUAUGUUCCAAAUGUUCGUCAUCUGCAAUACCAUUGCUAUGUAUACCUCCAUCCUCGCGGCAAUCAUCCUCAUCUGGGCACAGUUAGGUGAUCUCAAUUUGAUGGAUCCUGCCUUCAGAUUUGCAUUGCCAUUAUUGGGGCUGGCCCUUUAUGCAAUGUCCUUCGGCUUCAUGGCAGGUGUUUCCUUGGUGGUCAGUAAUCUUCAUUGGCUUGCAAUUGUUGUCUUCAUUAUUGGAAUCAUCUGCCUUGUCAGUCUCUCAGUACCCUUUCUUUUACUCUUCCUCCCAAGUAAGUCUACUAAUCGUAUCCUUAGGUACAUCUCCUAUUAUCCGUUCCUUUUACUGGUAUGGGCAUCUGAAAGCCCCAAAAUCAAACAGGAAGAUUAGCUCGCCCUGUUGAUGAUGUAUGCUAGCUCCAUCUUCUCCUAUGUUUGUUGCUUCUUUCAGCAUUAUCUCAAUGACUUGGUAGACAAAGCAUGUUAUGAAUAAAUGCUUAGUGUGAUCAGGACUUCAAUAUAUUGGUGGUGUUGUACAUGAUCAUUUGUCAUAUAUAUCUGUAGUUUCUGGAGCUGUAAUAUGUGAAAUACUCUAUAAAUACUCCAUUCAUCCAUACUGAUCAAUGCAUAUUUGUCUUUGCUUUUUUAGAAAAGAAAAAAAGAAAAAAUAAAUCUUGGAAAUCCCAAAAUGAUUAAUUUGUGAAAUAUCAUUAUUUAACAAAAUAAAAAAAACACAUGAAUAUAUAAACCCCACUACAUCAUUUUCUUUGAAAUACCCUGUCGCGGUUGGUGAAAUAGAAGGGAGAAUUAUGUUUUGGGUCUGGCCCGAAAAUUGACUAAAAUUUCACAUAUUAUACACAUUUAAACCCAAGACCCAAAUAAAGUGUAAAAAUUAAGUUAAAGGAUAUUCUUAACCCCUACAUAGGCACACAGUGAAUGUAAAUUUCAAUUUUUUUUUUCCCUUUUCUAUUCCCAAUUAAGUAUUACUCACUUUUAACUUUUGUUCUUUUUUUAAAGAUAUUGAAUCUUUUUACUCAAGGAUAAAAAAGUUUCAUAUAAAAUUUAAUUUUUUUUAUUAUUUUCAUAUAAAAAAUAGUAUUAAACAAGGUUUUCAAUUUUUAUUUUUAAAAAUAGUUUUCAUUUUUUAAUUAAAUAUUUUUUCAAAAAUAAAAUAUAAAAAAUAUAAAUCAUAUUACCAUUUUUUUAGAAAGUAUUUUUUUAAAUAGUUUUUGAAAGUAAUUUGUCUUUAUUUAUAAUUUAAAAUAGAAAAUAAUGUUGAUUUUCACUUAUUUAUAAAAGAACGUUUUUAAAAAAAUGAAAAAUCUAAAUUAUUAAAAUAUAAUUAUUAUGGUUGCAUGAAUACUGGUGCAAUAAAGACCAAAAAAGUUUAUGUGAAAGGUCAACCCUAGUUUUAGAGUUUGGACUCGUAAAAACUCAAAAUUACUCAAAAUUCAUCUAGGAAUAGCCAAAGUUGAUGAUCUUGUUUCUAUAUAGAGCAAGUGAUGAUUGAGAACCAUCUACCUAGUCUAUCUAAUUAGUUAUGUGAUGCAAGGUGAAAAACCUUCUUUUAUUUCAUAACAUGAUUCUAUUUUAUAGACCAUAAAAUCAAUUCUUUGUUUGGUAACUCAUAUUGUAGUAAACCUUAAGAACCUAAAUCCCCCAUGUGUUUGACAUAAAUUGGGAAUUUUUGUUGUAAUAUGUGAGUCAUAUUGGGAGAAAGAUAUAUACGGAGAAAAAUAGGCCAAUGUCAAAGUGGAGCGGAGUGGAACGAUAGCAUUUGUCAUUUAAAUUUGUAUUUUUAUUAUUAAGGGUGAAUGAGAAGUUGGGGGGUGUGAGGGGACAACACCUCCUGUGGUAUGGUUUAGGGGUAUUUUUUAAAUUUUAUUACUUAAGAGUUAAUAUAAAUGUUUUUUUAUAUAACCUUAAUUUGACAUAUAGUGAAUUCUUCCCUAUUCUCAUAAACGUAGACAAUCCGUCGUUAAAUUUAUGCGUCUUUUUGUUUUUCUCUAAUUUCUUCAGCAAGAAUCGUUGCACGAAUAUCAACAAUUUUGAACCUAAUCUUAAGUUGAGUUUGAUCCUAGUCGGACGUAUUGAUGAUGGAUUUGACGAAGAUUACUUUCAAACCCGCUCAAAGACUCAAACCGACCUAACUUUGAAUUGGUUAAAAUAAUUUUAUAAAGUGAAAUGAUUAAACUUCUUACUUUUUGGCAUUGGUGUUUGUGCUUCCAAAUAGUUUUCCAGAUGUUCCCAAUGAGUUUGGAGAAGAGUGUUAGGAUUUCCUAUAAUUAUGCAGAAUAAUUAUAAGCCUAAUUCUUGCAAAACAAUCAUAACCCUAGUUUUAGAACUUUGUGAUUUUCAUAAAGUAAAUAAAUAAUAAAAAGAAUAGUCAUUAAAUUCUAACUUUUAAACAAUGUUCAGAAAAAUAAAGUUAACACCAAAAAUCCUAAUAAUAUCAAAAUCUCAUCCUAAUUAUCAUUCAUAGUUUGAACAGAGGGUGUCUAAAAAAUUGUUAAUGAAGGGAAAUGAGCUUAAAACCCAAUAGAAAAUAUUAAUACAGCUUCACAGAUAAUUUUUUUUUUAAUAAAGAUUAUAAAUAGAAAAUAUAAUGUAUAAUCCUUUUUAUAAAAACUUUUUAGUUUAAACAUGUUAAUACAUUCAAACUUUUUAACAAAACAUUUUUAUAUUAAUGUCAAAACAAUUUUAUAUUAAAUUCAAAUAAAAUAUAUUCAAAAUAUUUUUAUUCUGGUUAUCAAAUAUCAAAUGGUGCUCAAUUAUGUGAGACUUUACAAAUGGGUGGUUAGCCUCAAAUUUGUUUCUUUUACGACGAACCAAAUACUACUAAUACUAGUAAUCUCUAACCAAACCUCUAGAGAUUGGGGUUCAAAUAAAUUACAUUCUUCACUAUAAAAUGUAAAUGUCAACUAUUAUAUCUCAUUAAUAUGGGUUAAAAAGUCAACUAUUAUAUUCAGUAGAUAAGGGCCAAAAAGUCCGAAUAUUAAAUCCUGUUACCUAUGGCCGGCUAAAAAAACCAAAGUCAAACACUUUAUUUUAUUUAUUCAAAUUUAUAAAAACAUAAUAUUUUCACAUGUUUAUGUUAUAAACAAAAAAAAAAUUUAAUAUAUUUUUUAUGCAAAAUAUAUUUGAUUUAUGCAUAAAAACAAAAAUAACAUUUUACACAUUUUAAAAUAACAUGUCAAAAGAAAAUUUUUUUUUUUUUUUACAAAAUCUGCAUUAAUUUCCCUUACGUCGAAAAAAAACUUAGAAUCCUUGAAGAAUUUAAUUAUGUAUAAACAACUUUUCAUCUAAUAAUAUAAGAAAAACAAUUAUAUAUUACUAUUAACUAUUUGUCUAAAAUUAAUUAUAAGUUUGAUAAUCGUAAAAAUUUAUAUAUUAAUAUUAAUAUUUAUAAGUAUCAAUGAUAAUUUAAUUAUUUUAUUCCUUGUUUAAGUAAAAUUAAUAAAUUUCUAAUUUAUAUAAAACUUUUUUCUCUAGUUUGAUUCUAAAAAAUAAAAAUACAUUACUAAUUUAAUUAAACUACAAUUUUUAUUUCAUUAAUUAAAUUUUAUUUAUUUAUUAACUUAACAUCUAUCCUCAUUAGCAUUAUUAUACCAUCAACCAACCUUGUAAUUCACCCAACUCUCAACACCUAAUUAAUAUUCAUAUAUAUUUUCCUCAUUCUCCCAAUAAAGGUAGGUAGGACUCGCUUAAUUAUCUUUUUCUUAUUUUAUUUCUUUUCUUUCUUGCACAAACCACACACUCAUGGCUACAUUCUUUUUUUUUUUUUCCUACAAACUUCCAAAAAUCACACUGUACACACUCGCCAAGGAACUAAAAGCUAAUUUUUAUUUUUUUUAAACACCCAAAUUCUUUUUCUUUUUUUCUUUUUUUCUUUUAUAUAUGUUGUCAAUACCACCCCAAAUCCAUAAAUCCUUUUUCUCUUUUUCUAAUACCCUAAGCAUAUAAUAUAUAUAUAUAUAUAUAUAUUGAAGAUUUAAGAUAUAUUAUUUAUUUAUUAUUGUUUUAGAUCUACUAAAAAAAUAUUCAGAAUUUCCUAUCUAUAUCAAUAAAUCAACAUUUAUUCAUAAAUUUUCACUCUUUUUAUUUAGAAUUUAAAUAAACAAAUUAUAUUCUAGAUUGAGAUUUUUAAAGAAUAUUUAAGUGUUUAAAACUAAUUAACAAAUAUAAAAUACUAAUUAAAAUUCUACUUGGAAAACUAAUUUAAAACCCUAAACCUCCAAACCUUCAGUUCUAUAUUGUCUUCAAGGAUUGAAAUAUCGGUUUUUACGGAUAUAUCGGUACUUCAAUUUUACGGAUAUAUCGGAAAUAUCGGAGAAAUAUCGGUGGAUAUUUUUUCAUAAAUAUCGGUGGAGUGAAAAAUAUUUAAAAUUAAUAGGAAUGCUUGAAAAAACUUCAAAAAAUGAUAACAUAAGUAAGAAUACACAUUUUAAAGUUAUCUUGUAAGUGUAAUUGAUAUAUAUAUAAUUAAGAAGAAAAAUAUCAUAAAUAGAGAUAUAUUGGUAGAUUCGAUAUUUGAAUUUUAAAAAUAAUAUAUAUGAAUUUUGAAAGUGUAUAAAGUUAAAAUUGAGUUAAGAAAUAUGAGAUUGCAAUAGUCCUUAUACUAAGAAAGAUAUCGAUGUAGUUUCAAUAUAUUAUUAGAUGAAGGGAGUUCAUCUUGUUGAAGACAGUAUUUAUUUUAAAAAUUUUAAAAUAUUUUUAUUAAAACAUAUUUUAUUAUAUUUUAAAUGAAAAAUUAAAUUAAUUUAUAUAAAAUAUCUUAUUUGAGAUUUAAUUUUUAAAAUUUUAUUAAAAAUAUGUGAUAAUAACUUUUUCUAUUAAUAUUAAUUUAUUUAAUAAUAAAAAUAAAGGUUGAUAAUUAAUAAUUAUUUAUAUAGAGAGUGGAAAAUUGUUCUCAUGAUUUUUUUACAUAUUUUAUUAUAUUUUAAAUGAUAAAUUAAAUUAAUUUAUAUAAAAUAUCUUAUUUGAGAUUUAAUUUUUAAAAUUUAUUAAAAAAUGCGAUAACAACUUUUUUUAUUAAUAUAAAUUUAUUUAAUAAUCCAAAUAAAAGUUGAAAAUUAAUAAUUAUUUAUAGAAAAUUGUUCUCAUGUUUUUUUUAUUUUUUAUUUUUUAUUUUUUUAUCUCCCCUAAAUCUAAAAAUAAAAAAAAAUAAAAAAGGCACCCACUUCUCUCUCGGGCAUCAAGAACCCUUUUCUGAAGGUGUCUUCUAGUGAGAGAAUCCCUAAAAAGCCCUAUUUUCCUCUGCUACUCUCAAAUCUCAAUCCUCGCAGGUACUAAUCUAAUCAUGUUAUUAUUAUUUUUUUUUUUGCAACCCCCGUUUGAUUCCCAAGAAAAUCCAUCCCCAUUCGAUUUCCGGGAAAAUUCAUCCUCGUUUGAUUUCCGAGAAAAUCCAUUCAAAACUCCCAAAGAAAACCAAAAAAAUUGCUUUUCUUUUGCUCCCUGUGUUUUCUGGAUCUGUUUUAGGGGUCUCUUUGCUGUUGUGCCAUUGGAUUUAAAUUUCACGAACCCUAAAUCCACGAUUUUUGAGCCAGGCUGAAAAACACAACUGCGCGGGCUGGACUGGUAGGAAAUAUCGCGAUUUUUCUCCGAUUUUUCGGUGCUUCACCGAUAUUUCGCCGAUAUAUCGGCGAUUUUGUCGAUUUUUGGCCGAUUUUUCCGUCGAUCGAUAAUCGGUGCCGUUUAUCGUUUCCAUGCCGCCCGAUAACCGAUAUUUCGACGAAAUAUCGGCGACAUUUUCCGAUUUUUCAAUCCAUGAUUGUCUUAUGUUCUUUGAUCUUUUUCUAAUCUCAGUGUAAAAGGAUUUCAGUAUAGAGAAGUUAAAAAAAUCUAAUUUAUAUUUAAGGUUUAUAAUACAAAAAGACCUUUCUAACCUUAUUAAAAAAAAUUAUUUUACUCUAAUUUAUGGUUUUACCCCUAACAACAAAAUGGGGGUUGUCACAUAAGGAGCCAAAUAAUUAAAUAAUUUUUAAAAAAUAAUUUAGAACUUAAAAAAAGUGUUUGGUCCGAUAGGACUGAACUACCUUAUAAUCCGCUGUUAGCGUUUAGCUUGGCACUUAGAAAGAAGAGUCUCUAUCACCUAAUUUAUAGGAAUAAGAGAAUUUUUUUAGUGGGCAACUCUUGUUUAGUGAUUACGCAUAGCCCUUUGUCUUUCAAAAUCUGUGAGUUGUGCCAAUAUAGACCUUAUCCCACGAAAGGUGAACCCGGAUGUACAGAAACUUUCUUGUUCACACUUAUCGGCUUUCAAAAGGGGAACGGAGAGACUUGACUGAUAACAAAAGAAAAGAAGAGAAAGGGACGGGACUUUUACGAGCUCUCCAAAACAGGCUAAGAGUCUAGCUUGUCUUUGCCCCUGCCCUACCUUAGCUUUCCUCUUUAGACUUCUUUUAAGAUUCUGGUCUACCUGCCCGCUUUUCGCCUUGGGAAAGACCUAGCGAUUGCCGGGGCAUAUGAAGAAUACUUCGAAACUGCUGGAUGCAGAAGACAGAUUUUAUGUUGGAAAUGCCACUCCUUCUACUGCUAUUCCCACUUCUGGAAGGAAGUGUUUUUCUAUUUUCUUUAGUAAUAUAUAUGUCACACCCUAAGACCCACUCUAAGGGCGUGACGGUCAUUUUACACCUCAAACCCGAAGGCUUAAAGUAUAACCUGACCCAAACAAUCAUAUUGUAAUUGGAAGUAACCAAUUACCAAAAACCUGUUCAGAGUAGCAGAACAAAAUUCUAAAAUCUCCAAACUUAACUUUAGAACUAAGCAUCCAUUAUCCAAAUAGAUUGCAACUCAACAAUUCAAGUACUAACGAAUUUUUAUAAUCUCCAAAUCUCAACUUCAAUCUAUCAUAAAAAAAAAAAAAUUUAAAAGCUCAAUAUCUAAAUAGCUUCCAAAAACUAAAUAAACCAAAUGAACAUAAACUUAUAAGCUAACAAUAUUCAAAAAUAACAUCCUAAGAAAAAUCCUAAUGAUGACCAAUUUUCCCGCCUAGUCAUCACUCCUCGCCCGAACUAAAGGUACUUGAAAAAUUUUCAACAAUUGGGAAUAAGCUCACAACCCAAUAAGGAAUAUUAAUGCAGUUCAUGGAUCAAAUAUUUUCAUUUCAAAUAGAAGAUAUCAUUAUUAUUUUUUUCUCAUCAAAUAUCAGAGUUUCAAAAAUACCAAUAUAUUCAAAUUUCAACCAACCAUUUUCAUAUCAAAUUCAAACACUUUCACAUAAAAUUCAAUCAAAUCUAUUCAAUUUUCAUUACUCUGGUUAUCAAAUAUCAAAUGCCCAUUUAGGUGUGACUUUUCAAAUGGGUGGCUUACUCCUUAUCCCCAUCUUCACCCAGGCUAACGGGGCCCUCCUUAUUCAGGGGGGAGAGUGGAGCCUCGAGAAGCACUGUUGAGAGGAAGAUCCUUGGCCCCUCUUCAUUCUCUACAGGGUUCCAAACCUUUCUUCAACAUAGGUGACAACGAGUGGGGCAGAGAUGGAAGAGAUCGAACACGGGAAUAAGAAGCAAGCUCGCCUUCCUUUUUUAUCAUUUUGAUAGACGGGAAUGGAGAAAGUAGACAAAACAGACCCGCAUUUCCCAAUCGAGGGUUCCUUUUUCGUCUCGCAUUUCUGGAAAAGAAGAAUAUUGAAAACUCUCCUAACCCAACCCCUUCCUUCGUAGAGCCGUGUAUUGUAAGUGAUCUGAACCUGCCCGGAGUGAGCCCCCCAUAGAGGCAAGUGAAGUUGGUGAGCCGUAUGAUGGGCAACUAUCUCCUGCAGUUCGGAGAGGACUCAACUGUUAGUUAGUAACUCCUUGGAUUCGGGGUGGACCCUUUCACUCUAUUUUAUUAUAUACGGUUCGCAAAAAGAAUGUUUUUUGAUACACCUAAGGACAUGGAUUCUAUAUGAACCAAUGGAUCGUGACAAGUCGUUACUACUAGCAAUGACUUCCUCUUUCAUUACUUCAUCCUUUCUAUAUCCCUCUCCCUUGUUCUUAGUUACUCAUCAAAUGGCACUCAGUUCAUAUCUUUAAGUUCGAUCAUUGACAAGGUUCAAAGAAAGGGUGGGCCAUUGAUAAAGAAUCGAUUCCAAACCACAAUGCUAGCAGAUGGCGGAGACUCAAUUAAUUUCAAAUUUUCAACCAAAAUAAUUAAAAAUAUCCCAAAUGUAUGUGUAUUAAAAGAAACUAAAUUAUUCAUUUAACUAGAAAGAGUAAAUUCAUAAUUUAUUUAAAAAAUAAUAUUAACUAUUAACAUUUUCUAAAAUAUUAUUAUUCAUUUAAAAUAUAUAUAUAUAUAUAUAUAAUUUUUAUUUUUAUUAUAAUGUUAGUUUCAUAUUUUAUGAAUAUUAUAUGUGUAUUAUUUAUUUAUUUCGUCUUUAGAAUUUACAUAAUAUUGAUAUUCAUUUUAAAAUAAAUUAAGGUUUAUGCAUGUGGCUAUUUUUAAAAUACUAUAAUUUAUUCUUAGAAAGUUUAAUAUAUUAUUAGUUAUUUUUUAUAGAAAAUUUGCUAUUAAUAUGUAAGAAAAUCUUUUAAAAAAUGUUUAAUAAAUAAAUAAAUAACCAUUUAGCAAGAGGAGUUUGUAUAGUGGGUGAGAAAAAUGAAAUAAAAGCCACGGCGCUAGGAGAUCUCUUUCGUGGCAAUGAAUCUAUUAUAUAAAUGGAAAAUGUGAAUGAACUAUUUGCCAUGUUAAUUUUUUUGAAAUAGUGUAAGGAAACAUAUUUUGGUUGUUAGAUGUUUUCCAUAAGAAAAGUAUGUUUGGAAACUUAAAUGAGUUCAAUAUUUUUUUUUAAAUAAUAAUAAUAAUAUUUUUUAUUUACAACACUUUAUCUUCUUCUUUUUUUCAUAUUUACAUAAUUAUUUUUUAAAAUAAAUAAAAAUAAUUAAUAUAUGUUCUUAAAAAACUCUAUACUUUAAAUAAGUUCUCAAAAAUAAUAUUUUAUAUUAAAAAUUAUCAAAUAUGUUUUCUAACCGACAAGACAAUUCCAAUCUUAUUCAUAAUUUUCCUAAUAAGAAAUGUGGUUCAUGAUUGGUUGGUGGUUAGUCACUAUCCAUUGAAUUCAUAGAAGUAAAUGUUUAUACACCUCAUCUACCAACAAUGGUUCUAUCCUCAUCGAGUCAUGUGCAUACCAUUUAGUUUACAUUUUAAAAUUCUGAAAUAGAAAAAUGAAAUGAAAAUUAAUAAAAAAAAAUAUUUAUUAAUAUAUUUGGAUUAAUUGUUUUAUAGAAUGAGAAUAUGAAUAAAAAUUUUAUUAAUAUAGAAAACAAAUUCUACUUUUAUGAGGAUUUUGAUUCCUUUGUUCUAUGUGAUAGUGAUUUAUCUUACGUUUGGUGGAUUGAAUAAUAUAUAAUAUGUAUAUUUUAAGAUAUCAUAUCCUUUCCUUAUCCAAUUUAUUUAUAAGAUUUGUAUUUAUCAUUCAAAACUUAUCUUUUAAUAAGUCAAUUAAUACAAAGCUAUUAUGUAGUCAUAUAUUCGUCACUUUUUUUUUUAUGUUGAUAGAGAAUUUAACUUUUUGCCAUUGUAUCUUAUUUUUAUAUAAUUAUAUUAUAUUUAUUUUAUUUUUUAUAUUAAGUUUUAAAUGUAACUCAUAAUUGGUUGGAGGGUUAGAGACUUCGUAAUAUUAGAAAAAUAAAUUACAUCCUUAUCCCACAAACAGGGUAACAACAUAUAAAUCUUUUUAUCUAUCACUCAAAAACCACAUUUUAGUGAGGCAAGCUAUACAAAGCCAUUGUAUAGUUAUAUAUUUGUCUCAACUUUUCUUUAAGUUGACAAUGAAUUUAAUUUUUUGCGCUAAUAUCUUAUUUUUAUAUAACUGUACUCCAUUUAUUCUUCUGUAUUAAUUUUUAAAUGUGGCCCAUAAUUGGUUGGUGGUUUAAUUAUUAUCAAUGGUUUAAAUUGAUCCAAUUAUCGACUAAUGACCUUUCUGAUCUAAUUCACACCUUUAAGUCGUUUGAUCAUUGAAUUUAUAUUAUUAAGAAACAAGUUGCAUCUUCAUCCAGCUAACAUACUAAUGAUAUUACAAGCUUUUCAUUGGCAAUUCAAAAGCCAAAUUUUAGUAGGAAAGGCAAUACAAAGCCAUUUUAUUUUCAUAUAUUCAUUUCAAUUUUUAUUUUUUAUGUUGACAAUGAAUUUAAGGGUUUUUUUUUUCUUUUUGCCCUUUUAUCUCUUUAUAUAUAUAUAUAUAUAUUCCAUUUCUUGCUUUCAUAUUAAUUUCCAAAUGUGACCCUUAAUUGGUUGGUGGGUUAGUCAUUGUCUAUUAAGUUUAGUUGCAUCCUUAUCAAGCUAAUGUGUCAAUAACAUGCUAACAACAUUUAAAAUUUUUCACUAAGACAAUCAAUACAAAGUCAUCAUGUGUCAGGACCCCAAAAUUUGUCCCAAUUUUAUUUUUACAUUAAUUUCGAGCUCAAUUUUAUGCUUAGGUUUCAAAUCCCAAUUACAUGUUUUUUUAACACACUCAUCAUUUAAUAGUUUUUAUUAUUUUAUAUAUUAUAUUAUUAUUAUUACUUUUUAUUAUUAUUAUAUUAUAUUAUAUUAUAUUUUUAUUUUUUUAUUUUUAUUUUUAUUUUUAUUUUCUCUCUCCUCUCUCCUCCCUUCCUACUCCCCAACCACUUCUCUCUCCUCCCAUACUCUCACCACCGCCACCAUCCCAUUUACCAUAAUUUUUUUUCAUUUUGCCCCCAUUUUUUCUCCCCAUUUUCGCCCCCACUUUUCUCUUCUUCACACAUGCUGGCCCCCACCACUCCUCUCUCUCCCCCACUUUUUCCCCCCCAAAUUUUCUCCCUUCUUCCGACGUACGGCCCUUGGAUUUUUUUUCUCCCUUCCCCCUCAUUUCUUUCCUUUGGUCCUCCAUUUUCAUGCUUUCCCCCACAAUUCUCGAGGUCAAGCCCCCCAUUCCGCCCCCAUUUUUUUUCCUCCAUUCUCUCCAUCUUCUUCCUCCUCUCCUCACUCCCCCGGCCGGCUCUCUCCCCAUUCUUCUUUUUCCACCUUUUUCUUCUCUCUCCCACACGGCAGUAGCUCCCCCUGAUUCUUUUUUUUUUUUUUUCAUUUUUGUUUUUAAUUUUUUUUUAUUGCUUCCCUUCUCAAAAGACCCACACAGCCGGCCUCCCCAUCCUCUCUUUUCCAUUUUUUUUUCUCUUUUUAUUUUUCCAUCUUCUCAUUUCUCUCAUCCCCUCACUCCCCCAUCACACACGUUUUUUUAUUAUUAUUAUUACUAUUAUUAUUAUUAUUAUUACCUUUUUUAAAUUUUUUCUUAUUUUAAUUUUAAUAGUAAUUGUUAUUAAAAUUGGGUUUGUAUAUUUAUAUUUGUUUAUGGGUCUUAUGUUUGAGUUUUGUUAAUUAAUAUAAAAUUUGAGUUAAUUUAUUAUUGAUUGAUUAAUUUAAAAUUUGUUAAUUUGGUUUUGUGAAUAUAUUACAUUUAGUGAUCAAUGUAGGAUAUUUGGAUUAUAUCAAUUACAUAUUAUUUAUUGGGAUUUGGGCCUAUUGUUAAUUUGUUAUUUGUUUAGGCUUAUUGAAUUAGGCUUGAAAUAUUAUUUCUCUUGACUAAGCAUAUUUUUUAUAUGGGCUUAUUAAUUAAUGUGAAUUUUGGGGCACAGAAUGUGGGUGAGAUUUAUUGGAUUAUUUGAAUAUUUGAUAUGAGUUUGGCAAAUUUGAAUUAUUUAAUUUGGAUGUGGGACAAUUGUGGUGUAUAUUAAAUUAGGCUUAGAUUAUGGAAUAUUAAAUUUAGACCUAAUAGAAUUUAUUUUAAUUUAUCCAAUUUUAGGUUUGGUUGAUUGUAUUUGUAUUUUUUGUUAUUAAUUUAGAUGUUUUGGGUUAAGACCUAUAGUAAUUUGGGCUCAUUUUAAUUGGCAAAAUUUAUGAUACUAAUUUGAAAUUGGAAUUUAGGAUUGAAUAUCUGCUUGAGAUUUUGCAAAUCUUUGGGUAUUUACAUUUGUGCUAUCUUUGUUUUUGCAUGGAUCCAUUAUGCAAUUUUGUUACGUGGAGUUUGUGGCAAGUUUAUUUUGACACAUAUUUUAUUUCCCACUUUUAUUUGGUUUUAUUUUUAUUAAUUCUUGUAAAUAUUUAUUUGUAUAUAUUUAUUGAAUGUGUACAGAAUUGAACAUCGAACAAAUUAGAAAUUUUGUUUAAAUGAGAGGAAGAAUUCAGUAAAUGUAUUUUGAUAAAACAAUAAUUUUAAAAUAUUAUUUUUAAUAAAAGAAAGUUUUUAUUAUUAUUAUUUAUAAAAAUCCAAAAGAAUUGUUUUUAAUAGAAUUUGAAAAAUUGUUUUUAAUAACAUUGUCCAAAAAUUUCUUUGCUUAAUAAAAAUUGUCCAAAAAUUGUUUUGUAAAUAAAGUUGUGCCAAAAAUUAAUUUUUAAUAAAAUUGUCCAAAAAUAUUCUUUUAAAUGAAUUCUUUUUCUUUAAUUAAAAUGGGAUUAAAAGUGUUUUUUUUUUAGAAAUAGAGGAUUUAAUUUUAUUUUUUUAAAAUUUAAUUAAAAUUUCUUUUGCAAAUAAAGUUAUGUUCGCUUUUUUUAAAUGAAAAUAAAUCAAAAUAUUUUUGUAAAUAAAAUUGUAAAAACUCAUUAUUUUCUAGUUAAAAACAAGUAAAAAUAAUCUUUAUACCCAAAUUGGACUUUUGUAAUAAAUUCUUCUCAUACAAUAAGUGUAAAUAACUUUUCUUAAAAAUUAAAUACAAAUGAAAUUGAAUCAAAUCACUUGAAGAAAAUGUUUUGUAAAUACAUAAAUUGAAAUCAUCAAUUCAAGAUCAUUUUUUUUUAUAAAAUCCUUUGAAAUUUCUUGGAAAUUAUUAUUAUUUUUUUUAUUUUUUAUUAUUUAGUUCAAUUAAUCAAUUUUUGCAUAAUUCUUUUAUUAUUUAUUUUGUAUAUUUUUGUAAUAAGAUUUCAUCAUUAUUUUUGUAUAUAUUGAUUUUCACCAUGACUUGUAUAUACUUAUUUGUAUGAUUAUUUUUUGGUAUCCAUAAUUAAUUAAUUAAUUAAUUGUCAUAAUUCCUUCAAUUCGUUUAGUAGAGGCCGUAUGUAUACGGGCUUAGAGGAGUGUUACAGCUCAUCACCGUACCUUCCCAAUAAGUAACCUGACCUCCGAACCCAAUUUUGAUUUUCCACAGACCUGUUUUUUUUUUUCCUUCAAAAGUCACACUUAGGGUCUUUUUUUCUUAUUUUAUUUUUCCCUUUAAAAAAAAUAAAAUAAGUGGCAACUUCAAGCCUUUUUCUAAAAAUCAAUUUUUCAUUAAACAAAUAAUAAAAAAACGAGUCACGCCGUCGAGUGGGAACGCACAUAAAAAUGCGGGGUCCACACACAUUUGUCUCAAUAUUUUUCCUUUUUUUUUUUUUUUUGCACUUAUAUCUUACUUUUAUAUUAUUAUAUUUCGUUUCUUUCUUUUGUAUUAAUUCUCAAAUGUGAUCCAUAAUUGGUUGGUGGGUUAGUUAUUGUUCAUUGAAUUUAUAUCACUCAAAGAGCUAAGUUGCAUCCUCAUCUAACAUGCUAACGACAUUUAAAACUUUUUAUUUGUUACUUAAAAGUCACUUUUCUUUAAGACAACCAAUACGAAGCUAUCGUGUGGUCAUGUAUUCAUUUAAAAAAAAUAUAUUUUAUUUUUCAUUUUUGAUGUUGACAAUGAAUUUAAUUUUUCACACUUAUAUUUUAUUUUUAUAUAAUAAUAUUCCAUUUCCUUCUUAUAUAUUCAUUUUCAAUGGUGACCCAUAAUUGGUCGGUAGAUUAGUCAUUAUUCAUUUAAUUCAUAUCACUAAAAAAUAACUUAAAUCAUCAUCUAGUUGAUAUGUUGAACCAUAUUUAUUAUUUACAUUUCUUAACCAACUUAAUCUUUUGAUAAUAACGACAAUUCAAAUUCAUGAGAUAGUAUGUUUUUAUAAUUUUUUUAUUAGUAACGGAAAAUUCUCAUCGAUAGACUUUUGUCAACACAUUUUUCCCUAACUAUCAUGUAUUGAGAUUAUCCGUUGAUAAAUAUUUAUUCAGAUAAUGUAUAUUAAUGAAGAAAAGUAAAAUUUUUUGUAAUAUGUUAACAAUGAGUUUAAUUUUUUGCACUAAUUAAUAUUUUAUUUUUAUAUAAUUAUAUUUCAUUUCUUUUUUAUAUUAAUUUUCAAAUGUGGAUAAUUUGUAGGUGGAUUAGUCAUUGUUCAUUAAAUUACAUCGGUUCCAACAUGGUAGAAGCCAACUAUAACAAAAGUUGUAUUAUCAAAUGAAGUUCAUUUAAACCAGAUUUUUCUCAAUUCAAUUAAUCAUUAAGCCAGUCUAUUUUUGGGGUUUUGUUUUGUGUUGCACCAUAAUGCAAUUAAGUUGUUUGAUGAGAAGUCUAGCCAAAUUUGAUAUCGGCUGACCCAUGCAAGUUGUUUGAUGAAAACACAUCUAUUUGUACCAUGGAAAAAAAAUACAUGGCAUUAUUAAAUUUCAGACUAUAAUGUAAUGCCAUGAUCAAAAGGGUUGAAAAUAUGAGAAUAAUUAAACUCAGUAAAUUAAAAUGAUAGCAAAAUUUUAACCACAUUGUUGUGGUCUUCUUGAGCAGUAAAGCAAUUAUAGUAAGCGUCUAAUUAAUCAAGUAAAAUAAUUAUUAUUAAUUAUAAUAAUUUAUUUUUAUUGUAUAGAUAUUAUUAAUGCGCAGCUUUUUGUCUUAUUGACGAGGCAGGUAAUGUUUGCUCACCCAUUUUCCUUGCUCUCCUGUGGAAAUUGUUCCUACAUGCAUUUCAGCCCUUGCAGUGCCUGCGUCCACACUUUUAAUGCUACGUCCGUAUUUCCAUUUAUCAGCUUAGGUUAGAUAAAAAAUGCAAAAGGUAAAAUCAGAUAUAAUAGAAAUUAGGCUCUGUAUGUCAUAUAUUUGUGCUGCGAGUAUAGGAGAUUGGGAAUUUGGAAUUGGAUUGAAGUAAAAAAGUCAAAAUGAAAUUACAAUAAGAGUACGGUAAAGAGAUAACGUUGGGACACCAGUACGGAUGUACACUUCAAGGAAGUAGGCCAUGCCAUGUCAUGCCACCUGGAACAAAAUAAGGGGUUCUACAAAUUCUCUUAUCGGAAUCAUUUGAGAUAUAGAAUGGAUGCAUAGAAGGGAAGGAGACUCCUCCUCCUCCUCUAAAACUAAUUUUUGUGUGUAGGUGAGAAGUUGGGAUUCCCCGAUCAAUUAAACAUGGCUGAGGAGAGGGAUCCAGUAGAGUUGGGCAUGGCACUCGGCGCAGAUUCGAACAUGAAGAAGACGGCGUAACAGCUAAGAAGAGGGCAAAACGGUGGGCAAUCACCGCAGAAGCGAGCAUGGAAAGAGAGAAGGGGACGCUUGAUCAAGAUGAAGAUGAUUUGUGUGUAGGUGAGAGGUUGGGAUUCUCCGAUCAAUCAAACAGGUCUAAGGAGAGGGAUCUAGUAGAUCAGUUGGGCAUGGCACUCGGCGCAGAUUUAAACAUGAAAGAAGACAAGGAAACAAGUAAGAAGUGGAGGGCAGAUUCGACACUGAUCAGCUCAGAUUCGACAAUGGAAGAAAACCCUGUACCGCCUGAGGUGUGGGUGCCAGAAACCUCGCCAAUCUUCGCAGAUACUAAGAUGGAAAUAGACAUCAGCUCAUAUGUGACAAUGGAAGAAUACCGAGUACCGCCGUGGGUGCCAGAAGCCAGGGUAGUAGGCAUGCCAAUCUCCGCAGAUGCGAACAUGGAAAUAGACAGGGAAACGCAUCUUGUAAGAAAUAUAAGUGCUCGUUCCACACAGGGACUCCACGCCCCCGCUGAUGAAGAUGAAGAUGCGGAGCAUAAGAAAUUAAUGGACCGCCGCAUGCACGCGCAAGCGACCCAAGGAAAUGUUGAUGGCUUUAUUAAAAUUUUAGGCUCGAUAUCCUCCGAACAGGACCUUCAACACUCAGAAAUUCUCUGCCAAGUUAGUCCCCGGAAAAACACAUGCCUCCACAUAGCAGCAAGCUUUGGACACCAUGAUCUUGCCAAGUACAUAGUGAGAGAGUGUCCAGAUCUUAUAAAAAAUAAAAACUCCAAAGGCGACACGGCACUUCAUAUUGCUGCUAGAAAAAGGAAUUUAUCUUUCGUUAAGAUUGUCAUGGAUUCAUUCCCUUCUGGAAGUGGCGCAUCCCAAGAUGUAGAGAAGGCUGAGCCUUCAUUGCUGGGAAUUGUCAACAAAGAAGGAAAUACAGUGUUGCAUGAGGCACUGAUAAACCGUUGCAAACAAGAAGAGGUGGUGGAGAUCCUUAUUAAGGCAGAUCCCCAAGUGGCUUAUUAUCCGAAUAAGGAGGGAAAGUCACCAUUGUAUCUAGCUGCAGAAUCACACUACUUCCAUGUCGUAGAGGCUAUAGGAAACUCUGAAGUUGAGGAGCGCAUGAAGAACAGAGACCGCAAAGCAGUCCAUGGUGCCAUUAUGGGAAAGAAUAAGGGUACUUCCCGCCUCCUUCUCUCUCUCUAUUAAAUUUUCUUCUUCCUCUUCAAACUUAAAAAGCAUUGUUUGCAAUGAUGUUGGGGCUUUAAAUAAUCUGUUGCUUCUAACCAUAGAAGAAGUCUACUGGGCUUUUCUCAGCUUUUGCUUCAAUAUUCCUUGUUCCUAAAAAUUCAAAUUUUUUUAUUAAUUUAUGGGAGAUCCAUAAUAUUUAUAAAUCUUCUUUCCCAACCCAAACCCCGUCGUUGUAAAUAUUCUUCAUCUUUGUUUUCAAAAUCCUAAUCCUAUUUUGUCAUCUUCUUAUUCUUCUUCAAAACUCUAGUCCUAAUUCAUUCUUUAUUUUCUUUUCUAAAUUAACAAAAAUUUAAAAUUAACUAUAAAAAAAAAUUGCAGUUACAUAUGGCCUCGUUGUGUGCAUAUGGGAUGGUUUAAAUAGAACAAUUGUCUGUAUAAUUUGGGGUUGACUUCAAGUGAUCAUUUAAGAUUUGAUUUCAAGCUUAAGGUUAGAGUUAGGAUUUUUCUUCUCCCUUCUUUUUCUUUAUGUUUUAUGUUUCUUAUAGAUUCGAUGAAGUAGAAUGUAUCCUACACAUUUGAAAGAAACAAAUUAUAAAUGAUGUGAUGAUUUUCUAUUAUUCCCCAUUUAACUAUUACAAUAUUAUUAAGAAUAGGGAUAGUAAUGAGACAAGUUUUUAUAGAAAUCACAUCAUUGAGUUUGAAAUUUAAAUAAAUGGGGUUUGAAAUGAGUUUGAGAUUUUUUCAAAAAAUUAAACGAAACCAAAUGAAAUAGGACAUGUAUGAAGCCGUUUAAUUUUUUUUUAUUAGGACGGGACUGAGAAAUAUUUUGAAUAAAUGAGAUAGGGGUUGGGAUAGAGGUGACCGUCCUUAGCCCACCCCAUUUCAAUUCCUAAUUAAGUGGAUGAUAAGGCAAAUAACAAAAUUUAAAGAAUUUUUAAAAUCCAAAGAGGGAACUUAUAAUUAAAGGAAGCUUUUAAAAGGAUGGGCACUCCAUGUGGUACAACCUGGCACCAAAUUGAUACUGUUUUGUUGACUUACAGAUAAUAAAAUAAUCAAUUGAAAAAAAAAACUCUCUUUUCUAUUUUUAUAUUAUUUUUUCCUUCCUUAUUUUAAUUAUCAAAUAAUUAAAUCAUUUCCAUAAAAAAGAAAAAGAAAAGAAAAAAGCAAUAGUAGCAAUUACUAGUUUACGAUGAAUUUAUCUUAAUUUUAUUUUUUAUAUGUUCAUAUUUUUUAUGUAAUUUUAAUUAUUAAUGACUUGCACUCAUAUAAUAAUAUAUUUAUUAGAAAAAGGUUGUUUGAAACAUUCAAAUAAAAUUUUUCUUUUAUAUAUGAUGAAAAAAUGUCAGAGAUGUUGGAAAAAAUACUGGCCAUGAAGCUCGUCCAGCAAAAAGACAAAGAUGGAAGGACUCCACUUCAUUGUGCAGCAUCCAUUGGAUAUCUCGAAGGAGUUCAAAUACUGUUAGACCAAUCUAACUUGGAUCCAUAUCAAACGGCCUCUGAUGGCUUCUGUCCCAUCCAUGUUGCAUCAAUGAGAGGCAAUGUGGACAUUGUCAAAAAGUUGCUCCAGGUCUCCUCUGACUCAAUAGAGUUACUAAGCAAACGCGGUGAGAACAUUCUUCAUGUGGCAGCCAAGUAUGGUAAAGACAAUGUAGUCAAUUUUGUGCUCAAAGAAGAAAGGCUUGAGAACUUUAUAAAUGAGAAGGACAAUGGUGGAAACACGCCACUGCAUUUGGCAACCAUGCAUAGACAUCCUAAGGUCGUAAGCUCUUUAACAUGGGAUAAAAGAGUUGAUGUGAAUCUUGUGAAUGAUAGAGGCCAGACUGCUUUGGACGCUGUAUUAUCAGUGAAGCAUCCAACUACAUUUGACCAGGUAUAUCUAUAUGAUGCAUGAUUUGCAUCUUGUUUUCUAAAUGAUGGGUACUACUUGUAGUUUCACCCUUCAACUGCAUGCCAUGAGUAGGAAAUUAGAAUGCCUCAUCCAUGCAUUGUUACAGUGCUAUGGCAUUUUCCUUCUUAGAUGCAUGCAUGCAAUUAAUUUAUUAAAAGGAUCGAUCAGGACAACAUGGUUUGUUUUCCUUUCCUAGAAGGACCGGCUAAUAUUAAUAAGAACUAGAUCAACACUUCAACUCAAGCCACUGACCCUGAUUGAAGGUCAAUUUGAGCCCAAGAUAUCCUAAAAGUCAAGAAAAUUAUGGAGCCUAACUCAAUCACCAUCACCCUCGCCCAGAUUAGAGCGACUCAACCAAGGUUAGGCUAGGUUUCUCCAGCAAGCGCAUAUACUCUUGAUGUCGGCAAAGACUUAUGGGAAUAAUUUUUUGCAUCAUACUAAAAAGUUUUCAGUGUAGAGAACUGCUAUAUCAUGUGCGCUUGUGGUUGCUCUCUUGCUGCUUCACAUUGCUUAAUUUCAUACUUCUAGUGGGUGUUCAUUGAAUUUACAGGGAAAAGAGAAUAGCUUCCCAACAAAAUAUUACGAAACCCAACUCAUGGAAUUAUAGUCUACUUUUAGUUAUUAGUACGACACAUACAUUUUAUGUUCUCUCUUUCUCACGAUUACAUUAACAGCAACAUUUUUUUCUCUACUACGCAGGCACUAAUUUGGACAGCACUCAAAUCUGCUGGUGCACGACCAGCGGGAAAUUCAAAGUUCCCACCCAAUAGACGUUGUAAACAGUACUCUGAAUCACCUAAAAUGGACAAGUACAAGGACAGGGUAAACACUCUUUUGUUGGUUUCGACCCUUGUUGCCACAGUGACAUUUGCUGCUGGUUUUACCAUGCCAGGUGGCUACAACAGCUCCGACCCAAAUGUCGGCAUGGCUGCCUUGCUGAUGAGAAAUAUGUUCCAUAUGUUCGUCAUCUGCAAUACCACUGCUAUGUAUACCUCCAUCCUCGCGGCAAUCAUCCUCAUCUGGGCACAGUUAGGUGAUCUCAAUUUGAUGGAUACUGCCCUCAGAUUUGCAUUGCCAUUCUUGGGGUUGGCCCUUACUGCGAUGUCCUUAGGCUUCAUGGCAGGUGUUUACCUGGUGGUCAGUAAUCUUCAUUGGCUUGCAAUUGUUGUCGUCAUUAUUGGAAUCAUCUGCCUUGUCGGUCUCCUAGUACCCUUUUUUUUACUUUUCCUCCCAAGUAAGUCUACUAAUCGUAUCCUUAGGCACAUCUCCUAUUAUCCGUUUCUUAUAUUGGUAUGGGCAUCUAAAAGCCCCGAAAUGAAACGGGAAGAUUAGCUCGCCCUGUUGAUGAUGUAUGCUAG